rnacentral:lncRNA from 1 species
CCAAUCUGUAUUUAUUAGCACCUCAACAUCAUAUAAAUCUUUUGUGCCACUAAGCUCAUCUUCUUUACAGCCUUGUAUGAAAUCCGGCUUGCAUCCCCGAUAUGGAUCAUUUGGAUCAAGUAAAGAGAACCCUGUUGGGCAUCCACAGGUUGGCCUCUUAUCUCCUUUGAGAGUGCAGAUACUGUUGUACCCACAAACACCUACACCUGAACUUUCGGUAAUUCUUUGGCAAAUAUUAUCUGGCUCUGACCACAGAAUAGUCCAGCUUACAUUUCCAGUGAAAUUCUUGGGGUGAUAAUAUUGAGCAAAAAUCCCAUCAAAGUUGAGAGUUGCUCUAAUAUAGUUGUCCCUUGCUGAGACUACCUCUCCCACUGCAAGAUUGUACUUUCCACCAUUCUCUCUCACAACAUACAAGUAGCCUGAGACAUUGAAAACCAAUUCUUUACCUUCACUACCUGCCACGGUCCCUGAGGUAGUGUCGGUUGCAUAGUAAGGUUCAUUGGCAAAGUUUGUUGGCAAGUUUAUGGUGCUGAGCACAAGGUUCCCAUCUUCUUGCAGAAGCAGCUGGAACCGUCCUUUCGAAUAGUUAGUCUCCGAUUGUCGAGACGAAAGCUUCCCACUUCUUUCCAAUGUCUGUCCAGGCAACAUGGUAUCAGUGGGAUUGUUGAAGGUCUCCCAUAAGCUUUCUGAAUUUCUAUCUUGAAGAACGAAGUUGCCUGUGUCAUUCAUGACCCCAUUGGCAACAACACCAACACUGGUUUCAGAUUUCCAUAGCUCUUCACCCUGAGGACUUCUAAGCACUAGACCGCUGUUGGCAGUCAAGUUCACAGUUGACCCCUUGGGUGCAACUGCAGCCUCAUUAUCCCGAUUUGCAUUCCAAACUAUGGUUCUGUCUGGUAUUUUGGCAUACCAUAUUGAGAGCAGGAAAAGAUCAUUGCUUCCAAGCGGAAAAAAUCCAAAGGCAAAAUCACCAGAUGGAGAAAGCCAUGGUGAGGAGUUAGCUGCAGUUGCAGUUAGGAAAUCCCCCACUGCUAUGCCACCAUUGGUUUGAGCAAACACAGAAACUGGUAGCAGAAACAGUGAGGAAAACAGAAGCAGCCGUACAGUAAAAGCCAUUGCUAAUUUUCUAGCACCAAUGUGGUUCGGCAUACUACAAUAUCUUAGCUAGCUAUAUUUCAUAAUGAAGAAUGGGACCAUGAUGGCCCUUGCUUCCUCGAAAUUUCUUGCUAUAAAUGCGGGUACCACAUCUUAAUGAAGCAUGAAGCGUGCUCAUUUCUGUGAGAUGGCGAGGUGACGCAAAGACAAAAAUUUUAGAAUUUUUUAUGAUGAACUGGGACCUACAAAUUUGAAAAUGUUAUGAAAUAGCUAUAGAUGAAAUCAUCAGUCUAAAAUGGCUGCGACCAUUUAGAAAUUUUUAAGAAUGCAGGACUUUUUAUUUGCAUUAUGGGGUGAACAAGAAGGACUAAUUUAUUUGUAUUGACUGGAAAAUUUUAUUUCAUUCUGUGGAACCAUGAAAGAAAAUGUUCUAAUUGGCUCAAAUUUAGGAAGAAUUACUAGUUACUUUGGUUAAGUGACCCCUGGAAUUGUCAAUAGGCACAUAGUGUGUUAGGUGAUCAAAUGUAACUUAGUCAUUCGCCUGUGAGAUGUCUAAAGUCAGGUUCUAAGUGGGCAAUCAAUGAUGGCUGGGGUAUCUUUGUAAAAGGCAAAGGAACCAAGUGAAGUGGAACAUCAAGUAGGAAGCAACUUACGGCUGAUUGGAGACCGGGCUGGCUGUUUUUUUUUUUUUUUUUGGAUUUAAAAAACAGCACCUUCAAUUUGCUAUUACAAUGUAUUAGGAAUUAAUGCAUGCUAGUGCUGGUAGGCAUAAGAGAUAAUGUCUGCCGACAUUAUAUUUGGUGCGUUAGUGAUUGAAUAAUGCUUUGCAUUCUUCUUUCUCUUCUUUGGCUAUUUAAUCAGGCAAGUAGUGCAUGAGAAGAGUGCUUGUGUAUAGCAAAACCAAAGGAAACCAGAGAGAGAAGAGAGUUGGUUUCAUAUCCACCAUUCAGUGCAAUCCGCUUCUGUCGCGCACAACACUGCACUGCAGUCACCAAGUCAACGAAGUCUAAGGUUGGGCACAUGUUACAGGAUGGGCUAAGUCUAAGUCUAAGUCUAAGGUUCAGAAUCAUGAAUAUGCUGCUACUUUCCAAGUUCCAGUUUCCAUGAUUUACCAGUUGGAGCUUUGUCUUUUUGUUUUUGGAUUGUGGGUGCAAAGUCUUUUUCAAUGUUUUAUAAUGUAGGGUAAUUUUCUUCGACUCCAAUGUUAGGUUUCUUUAUAUGCGUGUUCAUAAUCUUUCACACAAUCUGAAAUACGUAAAGACAUACCUAGAGCCAUCUUUUUUGAGACACCACCUCUGAACUCAUUCAAUUGCAGCAGAAACAAUCCCAACAAGAACAGGAACGGCUCAAGACUUCUGCUCUCUCUUAUAAUCUAUUUCAGCUCUCUCUUAGAUUAGGGUUAGAGAAUGUGUUUGAUGAGAGUAGGGACUUAUAAAGGGUAGGUCAAGUCGUCUCUGCUAAUCACCGAGGGCCGACUUGACUUAUCUUCCAAGCUCACCAAAACAGUUCACGCAAAAAAGGAAAUAAAUAGGACCCAUUUCAAAACCUUUCCUUAUUCCACAAGGUUUUGGGCAUCAAGGAAUAACUUAAUUUAAACUCUUAACAAAACUUGAUAUAACUUAGUAUCUAGUGCACCGAUCUAAAUAGGAAACAUAACAUUCUCCCACUAGAUCAAGCACUAGAGCUUUGAUAAUCUUUACUGUCCAUAAGUUUAAAACAAUUAAGUCAUUCCCUUUAAGCCACAAUGAAAAGUGAUUAGACAAAACGAACUAUAGACAAGCACGACUCUCUUUAUUAAAAAUAGGCCAUCUAUAAUCACAUAAUGCAAUCUCAGAAAACAUGAAGCACCUACCAACGCAAACCUUAAUAUGUACCAAUCCGUAAUGUGAAUCUUUAUGCUUUUCAGUGCAUGUACCUCUUUACGACUUAGCAAGAGUCAAUCCGCAAUGUUAUCAAAACAAUAGUAUCUCAAAAGAGACCAUAAACUCACUUGCAUAAACAAAUUGCAUAAUAACAUCCUUAAAUGCAACUCCCUCAAUCUAGAAAACAGCAAAUAAACAUACUAGUAAAAUAUCAGAAUGGGAACAAGACUCCCACUAGAUUGCAGCAUCAAAGCGAGGAAAUAAUCCCAUGCUCUCAACAUGUCUCAGAAAAGCUUAUGAAGGCAAAACUUUGUGAACAUGUAUGCAAUCAUAUCUUGAGUUUUGGUAUGAUCAAACAUAACUAGGUUGUUCGCUACCUUUCCCUUCACUAUUAAAUAUUUUCUGUCAAUAUGUUGAAGUCUAGACGACAUCUUGUUGUUCAUGCAGUGAAAAGCAGCCGCAAUGUUGUCAUAUAUAUAUCUGUAUUGGUCUAGAAAUCGACUCCACCACCUUAAUGUCUUUAAUAAUAUUUCUUAGCCAUACUGCAUGAGGAGUAGGCUUCAUAGCAAGCUAUGUAUUCUGAAAACAUGGUUGAACUCUAAACACCAGAUUGUUUAGCAUUCUUCCAAGCAAUAACUGCUCCUGCCAUCUUGAAAAGAAAACCUGUAGUAGAGAUGAGAUUCACAUCAACAAAACCAAUAAGCUCUAAAUUCUCCGUGCGUCUGUAAAUCAACAUAUAAGCCUUUGUUCUUUGUAGGUACCUCAAAAUCUUCUUUCUAGCUAUCCAAUGUUGCAUUCCCGGAUUUGGCUGAAAUCUUUCCAUCUUGCUAAUGCACAAGCCUAGGUCUAGCCUUGUACACACUUGUAAGUACAUAUUGCUUCAACUAGAGAAGCUUACGGCUUGUUCCUCAUCUCAUCUUCUUCUUCUUUAUUCUUAGGGCAAUGCUCAUUCUUUAAAUCUCCUUUACCUAACAGAACUUUCUGUCCAAAACACAUACUCAUGUCAAAACGCUUAAGUAUCCUUUCAAUAUAUGUUUUCUGUGACAGGCCUAGGAGACCUCGAGCUCAGUCUCUCUAAAUUUCAAUGCCUAACACAAAAGCAGCUUCUCCCAAAUCCUUCAUCUCAAAAUUGUUUGGAAGUAGCUCUUUACUGUCUUUCAAUAAAUUGUGGUCAUUUGUAGUCAAAAGUAUAUUGUCGACAUACAGCACUAGAAAAAUAAAUUGUUUCCCACAUUUCUUCGGAUAAAUGCAUUGAUCGACUAUUUUCUCUUCAAAAUCAUAAGAUGAAACAGCUUGAUGGAAUUUGAAAUACCACCUCCUGCUUGCUUGCUUCAGUCCAUAAAUUAACUUGUCAAGUUUGCAAACCAUAUGCUUUUUUCCCCCCUUUGCAAACUCUUCAGGUUGCCUCAUAAUAUUUUCUUCUUCAAGUUCAACAUUCAGGAAAGCAGUCCAUUUGAUGUAAAAGUAGGUCAUAAUGCGCCACCAAAGCCACCAUAAUGAUGCGGAAAGAAUCUUUGGUGGAAACUAAAAAAAAAUCUCAGUGUAGUCAAUUCCCUCCCUUUGGGUGAAUCUUUUUACUACCAAUCUAGCCUUAAAUCUUUCGAUUCUUCCAUCCUUAUCCUUCUUUGUUUUAAAUACCUAUUUCAAGCCAACCAAUUUCUGGCUCUUGUGAGGUUCAACUAAUUCUCAUACUUGAUUAUUCUUCAUGUUUUCGAGUUCAUUCAACAUUGUUUCCCUCCAUUUGUCUGCAUCCUGACUCUCUAUAGCUUCUUUACAACUUGUUGUAUCAACCGAUCAUCUCUAAUGUCAAAAUCUGCUUCCUGUAAGUACACAUAAUCCGAAAUUGCUGUGGAUCUUCUUCUUUUUGUUAUUGAUCAACAAGUUCUUCAUACUGAACAACCAGCCUCAACAAUUCUAAUAUUAUAAUUUGGACAAUAAAAUCUAGAACCCUUUGACCUUGUAGGAUAACCAAUAAAAUGACAUCAAAUCAUUUUAGGAUUAAGCUUCUUCUCUUGAGGGUUAUAGAUUCUUAGCUUUAGCCUUACAGCCCCAUACAUGAAGAUGUCACAGGCUAGACUUUCUGGUAGUCCAAAUUUCGAAAGGUGUCAUAGGCACGAACUUCCUAGGCACUCUAUUAAGUAUGUAAUUUACUUUUUUGAUCAGUUCUCCCUAUAGACUCUUAGGCAAAUCAGUUUUAGAAAUCAUGCUACGAACCAUAUCCUUCAAGGUUCAAUUUCUUCUCUCAGCCACACCAUUCUGUUAUGGAGUUCCUGGCAUUGUGUACUGAGCAACUAUUCCAUUAUCUUGUAGAUACCUAGCAAAAGGUCCGGCUUGUCCUCCUCCUUCAUCAAAAUGUCCAUAAUAUUCACCCCUUCUGUCUGACCUUAGAAUUUUGAUCAAUUUGGAAAAACAGUAGGGAUAUGCAAGAGCAAACAAUUUUUAUUGGAAACAUUCCUUUAAUGAAUUCCCUGGGAACUUCUAGAGUUACUUCGGAAACAAAAAAAGUAAAAUAAAAUUUAUUUUUGUUAUUCUCCAGUUGUUCGAAUUCCUUAUGAUCUGCAACUGAAACAAGUUCUUGCUAAUGGUAAAAAAGGAGCUUUGAAUGUAGAAAAAGAAAUAAUAGUAACCUGGUCCCGAGCGUCUACCAUUAUACCUACAAUGAUCGGGCAUACUAUUGCUAUCCAUAAUGGAAAGGAGCAUUUGCCUAUGUAAUCAAGGAAGCCGUACCAAAUACAUCUCUAGAAAUAUCAGAAGUAAUCCGAGCUGUAAUUGUACGUACUUGUAAAGAACUCAAACGCGACAACGGUAUGAUAAUACGAUAUGAUGACAAUGCUGCAGUUGUUAUUGAUCAAGAAGGAAAUCCUAAAGGAACCCGAAAAGCGACCCCAUAGGCUUUCGCUUUCGCGUCUCUCUAAAAUUGCAGUCAUGGUAAAAUCUUGGUUUAUUUAAUCAUUAAUCAUCAGGGACUCCCAAGCACACGAAUUCUCUUUUUCUCAAGCUUCCUUUCUACUUCAGUUUGAUAUUUUUUGAAUAUUUUAAAGCUUGAGACUUUUCUGCUAUGAGAUAUAAAUAACCAAAACGAGAAUGGUCAUCUAUAAAGGUGAUGAAAUAGCAAUUUCUAUCAAUUGUUUGAUGAGGAAAAGGUCCACAAAUAUCUGUGUGGAUGGUUUUUAAAAGAUCACUACUGCGAGUUGCACCUUUCUUUUUAGUCAUAGUGAGUUUUUCAUUAACACAUUUAAUAUAAAUUUCGUCAUCACCGAAAGUCAGUAAUGGCAAGAUUUUUUCCUUAAUAAGAAUUUUAAUUUUUUCUUUUGAAAUGUGUCAUAAACCUCCAUACCAUAACCUAGUGGAUGUUCCUUCACUUCUAAUCUUUUUCUCACUUGAUUCAGCUAUUAAAACUUCACCAUCUUCAUUUUAAUUGAGACAAUAUAAUCCAUCUUUAUUGUCUUUGAAUUCUAAGAUACAAAAACAUCUUUAUUAAAUCCAAAAUAAAACCAAGUCUUAAUAAUCUUGAAUAGAAAUUAAAUUUCUCUUUAUUUAGGGUACUAAAACUACAUCAUCCAACUCUAAAAUAAAUCUUGAAUCCAACUUAAAAUCAACUACUCCAAUAAUAUUUAAUGAAAACAAGAGGUAGCUAUCUAAUCUUCCUUGUCACAACGUGCUGCCAUGAAAGUGUUGUUCUCCCUAGAAGGUCAAGUACCACUAUCUCCCUAUUAGUGGUGGUAUUGAAAAUCUCAACAAGUGAUUCAAGUUGGGGGGUAGGUUUCACAUACUGCACUAGGAGAUUCUUGUAUCGAAGUAGCUUAUUGAUGUUUCGUCCUCUCCCAUAAGCGCAUACACCGAGCUUUACAGCGAUCCUAAGACUUCUGAGAUUGUCCUUUGUAGCCGUGUUUACCCUUAUGGGUCCUCCAUAAGGUGUCGCUGCUCCUUAACCUUUUUUCUCUCCAGCUCAUCUUCGUUCUGCUUCUUAAUUAGCUCCACUAUACGCUUUACUAGAAUUCCAUUCAUGAUUAGUUGACACGAGUUGCUCCUAUUAAUCGCCAGAUGCUUUUCCUUUUCCCUAAGCUCUAGGAAUUGUACUAUAAGAUACAUAAGGUAAGUAGCUAGCUUGAAUUAAAUAUAAUCCAUGAAUAACUUCAAAAUCAAACGUCCAUAUUUUGAAGUUCGAUCCAGUGAAUCUUUCAAUUUGCGAGAAAUUGAUUAUGACAGGACCCGCCCCGGAAUUUCCCGAAGACCGAAGCGGACCCCGUCUUUAUUCCGACAUCAUCCUGAUGCCGGGCCCACCUACUAAGAAAUCGAGACUUUCUACCAAAAUUUUGGCAGAGUCUCCCCUGUAAUUUAAGCAAUCCCAACAAAAAUUUACUCAACCUGCAACGUACACACAAAUAUAAUUCCAACCAGCAGCAUGCUUUCACAAUUCUACAAAUCACUAAAGUGGCCUCCGGCCUCAUAAGUAAAAUCUAUCAUGGGCAAUAUAGAGCAUCUACUGAAUUUAGAUUACAAGAACAGUUGAGUAGAAGAAUUUACACAGUUCCUAACUAGAAAGAUGCGCAGUUUGAGCUUCGUACACCACUCGCACGCUUCCUGGAGCGACUACUGGUUGGGGGGCGCAAAACAGAAAACAUGUGAGUGGACAAAAACCAGAUUUGCAGUUAAAAUCAAUAUAGUAACCCCACCUUGUAAAAAUAAUGCUCAAAUCAUGCAGGUUCACAAUUCAAUAGUUAAUUACUCAAAACAUGAUUCAUUAAAACUCAUCUAAAAACACCAGUUAUCUCUUUCAAAAAGAAUCCCAUUCUCUCAAUCUUGCAACUCCUGUCAAACUACUAGUUCCUUACACACUCACUAUACAUAUACAUAUAAAUAUACCUAUAUAUAUAAAUAUAACUAUAAAUAGCUAUACGAUAUACUCAUCACACCACCUAGGUACCGGGGAAAACAAUCCAACUGGGGGUUCAUUUGACUAGUCCGCAGGAUUUCCAGGUGCUAUCCUGCGUCUAGGGAUGAGCGGUCCAACCGGGGGACGAAACUCCAAAGCUCCCACACCGGAACAUCCAACGCCAUGUGUAGCUUCCAAACUAUGUCCUACGCGCGCAGACUGGGUCAUCACACACCGGAACAUCCAACGCCAUGGUGAUGACCCUAAACAUUAUACAAAGUCCUUCCAUACGCUGGAACAUCCAACGCCGCAUAUAGAAAGUGUCUCACACGCCGGAACAUCCAACGCCGCGAGUGAGACUAGUAACUGGGGAAGGUAAUUACGUAGUGUAAUCACACAACUUCUCUCCAAAAAUCACAUUCUUCCACAUCACCCUCUAACAACCCAAGUAUCUCAUCUAUAGAGAUUAUAUAAAUAUACUUCCCCACAAUCCAUAUAAAAUGCACUCUCAAAAACCCAAAAUGCCAAACUCACAAUAUAUUGCCAAGUGCUAUACGAUCGUCAAACUCAACUCAUGAACAUAAUAUAUAUAUAUAUAUCCAUAAGCCAUUAAAACAUUAUGCAAAAUCUUUCAUCGAUUAAAAACCAUACAUAUGAUUGAAAACAAAGUCCACUCACAAGUAUUCCCUCGCUGCCUGACCACGUGAGGGUCCUGCUUGCUGCGUACGUGCAGUCGAAACACCUAUUUCGAGAUACGAACCGAUAAUUAAUAUAAAAUCACGUCAAAGCGGAAAUUACAAAUUAAAUGCUUAACUCCCCAAAUUCCCCAUACGUGCACGUUGAAGAAGGUAUUCUAAGGUCCGAUUACAGGUUUAGGAAGCGUUCACGAUUUUUACGGUUAUCGCUUACCCGCAAACUUUGCAUUUUUGAAUCGGAACAUCCGGGGCUCCGAUUCAGAAUUCGUGAAGUCCCAUACGGUCCUAGAAAUUCCUAGAACAACAUAUUUUAAUUCGGGAAAGAUCUAACAGUCGGAACCUAUCGAACCCGGAUAACGCUCAAUAUGCGAAAAUCCGUUCGAUAGUCAAACGACAUCCGAAUUGAGAUCCGCGAAUUCCUAUGCGCUCGUGACAACCUAAGGAUCUCAUCGGGUUAAUUUACAGCCUCACCAGCCUUGCCCACGCACCGCCACAUGCACCGGCAGCGCGUGGGUGUGUAGAGUAAUUCCGGCGACGGAAAAACUCCACACCCGAGCUCACCCUUCCUACCCUAGCUCCUACUCGAGGUCAGGAUCACUUCAUUCAACUACGGGAAGGCCCAAUUCGGGCAGCAACUGGCCGGAAUUUCAUUUUGAAAUUCGGCCAAAACCUAGGUUUUCAAAAUCAAUUCCUACCCAACAAAUCAAUCCAAACCUAUACCACCAUCAGCUAGAACUCGAAAAAUAGAUGAGAAACCAUGCCUCACUCACCGGGUUUGGGCGGCGGAGGCGGCGGCGCGACUGCAGGAAAGAUCCGGUUCAAAACCGUCGAGCUCGCGGCCGGAUUUCGUAGUUUCCGACGGGGAAAACGGGCAGGUCUUGAUCAGGGCGACGAGGCGAGUCGAUCGGGACCGGUCUCGGGUGCUGCCGUGGCCGGAGCUGCGAGAACCGAGGAGAGAGAGAGCGGACGUCGGGGAGAGAGAGAGACUGAGGAGAGAGAGAGUGUCGAGCGCGCGCGAGGAGAGAGAGAGCUGAGGUGAAAAUCUGAUUUUUACUUUAUCCCUUUUCGAAAUAUUUACCGUUUUGCCACCGAUACUAUUUUGCCCGUAACUUUUCCGUUACAACUCCGAUUCAAGCCUACCGCAUGUCUACGAAUUCGUCUCAGUACCAUCUACCCAGAAAUACCAUUCGUGGUCCCAAAAUCCUUCCGAAGAAGAAAGUGGCCAAUUUACCCCUACCCCAAGGGUAAAUUCGUAAUUUUAUUUAAAUCAAUUAAAAUAAACAUUUAAUUUGGAGUCGGGGUGUUACAGAUUAAGGGAGUGUUCAAAGCUGUAAGGAUUUGUAAAAGAAAACACAAUUACUUUCCAAGAAACCGAUUCUCAAUUUGUUAAGAGAAAAUAAUUUUUCUGUGUAACUUUAUUCACAAAACUAAUAAAUAACAUAUGCAAACUUCCUUAAUUAAGUAUCACACCUUUGUGGCAAGAGAUUACUUAUAGCUUACACAAAUUACGUGUUAUCUUGUGCCAUCACAAAUAAAUUACAGGAUAGAUUCUAUUUGUUAAAGAAACUUAUCAAGUAAUUUUGGCAUGAUGCAAUUUUAGUUAUUUCUUUAGGGUUUGAGUAUUUGGGUUUGGUUUUGUUAUGACAAAACAUAGUUCAAGAGAGAAAACCCUAAAUUGCAGUGAAUAGUAACUUCUACCCUAAACAGUGUUUUAGGGGUUUUUGGUGUUCGUUUUUGACGCAAAAUACCUUUUUGAAUAAGGAAUGACCUAAUUAACACAGCACAUAGAUUUCCUGUGAUAUAUGGGCAUUUUUAGGGUUUUAAGGUCAUCUAGUAGGUCAAAAACGUGUUUAAAGUUUUGAAUAUAUGAAAAAUCAAAUUAAACAAAUAAGAAAUCGUAAUAGGCAUGCUUGAAAAACGAUUUCAGUGUGUGCAAAUAACCAUGUGCUUUGAUACCAACUGUUAGAUUUAUUUAUAUGCGCGUUCAUGAUCUUUUACACAAUCUGAAAUACGCAGAGACAUACCUAGGGCCAUCUUUCUUGAAUACACGACCUCUGAACUCAUUCAACCGUAGUAGCAACAAUCCCACUCAUUCAACCCCAAAAGCAACAAUCCCAACAAGAACAGGAAUGGCUCAAGACAUCUGCUCUAUCUCAGAAUCUGUUUCAGCUCUCUCUUUAUGAUGAGAUUAGGGUUAAAGAACGUGUCUGAUGAGAGCAAGGCCUUAAGCUUAUAUAUGGCUAGGUUAAGUUGUCUCUACUCAUCAUCGAUGGCCGACUUGACUAAUCUUCCAAGCCCACCAAGACGGUUCACGCAAAAAAGAAAAUAAAUAGGACCCUUUAAUAGGUUUCAAAACCUUUCCUUAUUCCACAAGGUUUUGGGUCUCAAGGCAUAACUUAAUUUAAACUCUUAUCAAAACCUAAUAUAACUUAAUAUCUAGUGCACCGAUCUAAAUAGGAAACAUAACAUCCAAGCAUCAACUUAUGUCCAGCUUAGAUCAUUUGAGUUUAUUAUUUCAAAGCUAAGUUGCUCGUGAGUUCCCAGAAACAAAAGAAUGAGGGCAGAGGGCCCAAAGAGGACAAUAUCAUAUUAUGGCAGAGCCGAUCCGGUAUGUGACAAGAUCAAGGCAAUCAGGGACUAAAAAAAAAAGUGUGGCACAAGGCUCAAAGUUGAAUCCUGUGAGAAAUGAGAAGCAAACAUAAACUCAGGCUUUGUGAUCCUUCAAUUUUUAUAGGACGUCGAUUUCGACUUUGGAAAAGCUUUUUAGAAACCUCCUCCGAUUCUCUUAAAUAAACUUACCACUAUAUAUAUAUAAGCUCAUAUUUUGUGGAUACUAGCUGGGGGAACAUAAAAUCUUUUCUAAGAAAAGUAAUUAUCUGAAUGUCGGAGUGGAGACGAGAAAGAUUCAAAGAUGUUUGAUAAACUAGCCGGCCAUGGUGUCAUUGUCAGGUUCGGUUUUGAAUAUUGAUAUAUGAAUGUUUCUGUAUGCAGUUUCAUGCACCACAAAACAUAAAAAGUAAAAACUUACCUAAGAAUUUUCAUUGACAAACUGGGAUAUCAUCACGAAAAAUCAAAAGUUAGGUUUGAUAAUAUAGAAAUUAAUGAAGAAUAUGGUAGGACAUUAUUUUUAUUGUGGCAUUGACCAGAGAAUCAUCUAUCACAAAGGCUUGAUAGCAUCAUAACAUCUGUUUAUGUUCAAAGUUUGAAACCUGACUAAAAAAAGAAAGUUUUUUUUUCUUUUCUUCUUCUUGUUUCAGCUAAUGGAACUAAAUGGGAAAGGACUUGGGGGAACUGAAACUUGAACUAUUCCUUCAAGCAUCAGCAUAACCUUCUUCAUAGUAGGUCUCACUGCAGGGUCUUCUUGGAUGCACCAAAUGGCAACCAUCACAAAUCUCUCAACUUUGUUCAUAUCAUUCAUGGGAUGAGUGAGGAGAUGAUGAAAUUGUUUGGAGAAAAGAAAUAGAAAGAGGAAAGGAGCAGAACCGAGAAGGAAAAAAAAAUAUAUUAGAGUCGGAUCUAGUCUAAUAAUGGAAAAGAUAAAGACAGCAGCUUUACAACGCACUAAUCUAAGAACAUACUAACAAGACCAUAUGUACAUAUUUGAACCAACUUUACAACUCAUUGAGGUGGGUUGCACACUUGUCUUCUGUGGAAGUAACUUUGGUGGGUUGCAUGUUAUUCCUUUUAGGUUUCAGCCUGUUCUGGUAUACGGAGAGGGACAUGGAGGAACAUGUACUUCCACCACGCCUUCAAGCAUCUGCACAACUUUCCUCAUAGUUGGUCUAAGAGAUGGGUCUUCUUGAAUACACCAAAUACCAAUCAUCACAAGCUUCUUUCUAUCAUCCAAUGCCUCAACUUCAUAAUCUAGAACAGCAUCUAAUAUCCCAUCACGGUAGCAAUCGUACACCCAAUCCGUUAAAAUUGCUCUGUCUUCACAGCCAUUUUCCACAUCAACGCUUCUCCUACAGCAAAUGAUCUCAAGCAGCACAACACCAAAGCUAUACACAUCAACUUUGGCAGUGAUUGGCAUGUUCCUGAACCACUCAGGGGCAACAUACCCUUUUGUUCCUCUAAUGGCAGUAUGUGUGUGGCUCUGAUUCAUCAUCAAAAGCUUUGCCAAUCCAAAAUCAGAGAUCCGAGCAGUGUAAUAAUCGUCAAGCAGUAUGUUCUGAGGCUUUAUAUCACAAUGGAUGACUUGGGUGCUGCACUCUUCAUGCAAGUACAAAAGUCCCUUGGCAACUCCACAAGCAAUUUCAAAUCGCUGCGUCCAACUGGGUUUUGUAUCAGCAAAAAGGAAGCUUGCUAACGUGCCAUUGCUUAAGAACUCGUAUACUAGCAAUCGAUGUUCCCCUUCGUCACAAUACCCAACCAGGCAAACUAGAUUCUUGUGAUGUGUCUUACCAAUUACGCUCAGUUCUGUCUUGAAUUCCUUCUCACCAUCUUGUAUCACACAGUUUAGCUUCUUCACUGCCACUUGGACACCAGAACCAAUUUGUAUUGUCCCUUUGUAAACAACUCCAAACGCACCCCUUCCUAAUUCUUCUGUGAAUCCAUUUGUAGCUUCUUGAAGCUCUCGGUAACUAAAAGAAUACAAAUUUGAGUCCAACAUAUUUUUGAUAGACCUUACUUGUUUCUUCCGGAAAACGAAUAAAAAUCCCAGACAAACAGCAGCACUAAAUAUAAAACUAACAAAGAUAGAGGUAGCCAGAAUUACGGAUUCCACGGGUAUCAAAGUGUUACUGCUCUUCUUCUUCUUAUCAUCUGGAUUUGGCAUUGGAGAAAAUUGUAGAGUUGGGUUAUCCUUUCUGACUUUGAAGAAAGCCUUUGAAUUAAGACUGACAUCCACUCUCCCAUUUGAGAGAGGUAAUUUCUUUUUCCAGCAGGUUUCAUUCCUGAAAACAGCAACAGCACACAAACAAUCUUGAAAGCAAGAUUCAUUGCACUUUUCUGCAGUAAAAGGUCUGAACUCUGCAUAAUCUGAGAUUGGCCAAUCAAUAUUUGUCAUCACGAUUACAUCAUAUGGAUCUUUUGUGGUAGUAAGCUCAUCUUCUUCACAGCCUUGUAUGAAAUCCGGUUUGCAGCUCCCAAAUGGUUCCUUUGGAUCAAGUAAAGAGAAUCCUCUUGGGCAUUGACAGGUUGGCCUAUUAUCAGCGUUGAGCUUGCAGAUACUGUUGUACCCACAAAUACCAAAACCUGAAUCUUCUGUAAUUCUUCGGCAAAUAUCAUCUGGCUCUGACCACAGAAGAGUCCAGCUUACAUUUCCAGUGAAAUUCUUUGGGUGAUAAUACUGAGCGAAAAUCCCAUCAAAGUUGAGAGUUGCUCUAAUAUAGUUGUCCCUUGCUGAGACUACCUCUUCCCCUGCAAGAUUGUACUUUCCACCAUUCUCUCUCAGAACAUACAAGUAGCCUGAGACAUUGAAAACCAAUUCUUUACCUUCACUACCUGCCACAGUCCCUGAGGUAGUGUCGGUUUCAUAGUAAGGUUCGUUGGCAAAUUCUGUUGGCAAGUUUAUGGAGCUGAGCACAAGUUUCCCAUCUUCUUGCAGAAGCAGCUGGAACCGUCCUUUUGAAUAGUCAGUCUCCGAAUAUCGAGAUGAGAGCGUCCCACUUCUUUCAAUUUUCUGUCCAGGCAACAAGGUAUCUGUAGGAUUGUUGAAGGUCUCCCAUAAAUUUCCUGAUUUGCCAUCUUGAAGAACAAAGUUGCCAGUAUUAUUCAUGACCCCAUUGGCAACAACACCAACAAUGGUUUCAGAUUUCCAUAGCUCUUCACCCUGAGGACUUGCAAGCUCUAGUCCACUGUUAGCCAAGUUCACAGUUGAUCCAUUAGGUGCAAGCGCAGGCUUAUUAUCCCUAUUUGCAUACCAAACUAUGGUUCUGUUUGGUAUUUUGGCAUACCAUAUUGAGAGCAGGAAAAGAUCAUUGUUUCCAAGUGGCAGAAAUCCAAAGGCAAAAUCACCAGAUGGAGAAAACCAUGGUGAGGAGUUACCUGCAGUUGCAGUAAGAGAAGCACCGACUGCUAUGCUACCGUUAGUUUGAGCAAACACAGAAACUGGUAGCAGAAACAGUGAGGAAAACAGAAGCAGCCGUACAGUAAUAGUCAUUGCUAAUUUUCUAGCACCGAUGUGGUUAACCGAUGUAGUUAGGCGUACUACAAUAUCCUUUCUGUAAAUGCGUGCACAACAUCUUGCUGUGAGACGGCAAGGUGACAGCGUGACGCAAAGACAAAAACUUCAGAAUUUUUUAUGAUGAAUUGGAUUAUUUCCUAUAUUUUUAUAUCUCUCUUAUAUUUGGUUUUUGUAAGGAAAGUUAAUUAAAAAUAGCAUUAUUACCUUACUUUCUUUAUUUUCAGCUAUUAUGCGCGCUUGGAAGGAUUUCGACGGAAAAUUGACUUUUCGAAUGAAUUUUAGCGCAAGACCAAUUGGAGAAGAAAGCUAAGACAUUGAAGAUCAUUGUAUCACAGUUUUAUAAUUUUCUACUAAGCCAAAUUCUCCAAACUUGCAAGUCAAGACAGCCUAAGUUGAAAUCCCAUCAGAACUGCACUACUAUGGAAGAUUGAAGAUUUGAAGCUUUUUCCGAUUUUUCCUAGUAGCGUGUGACAUAUGCUUGGAAAUUUUAGAGAUCAAGCUACAUUUCUCAUAUUUUGCCAUAAUUUUCUAGGAAGCGUAAGGACCCCAAAACGUGCGUGCAAUUUGACUGACAUGUUUCCAAGUCAAAGAAGGAUUCUUUCUUAGUUUAAUUGUUUGAGAUUUUGUUAUGCUUUAGGAGAGCUUUUCUAGACCUUUUUAGAGUAGGUUUUAGUUGUUUUACACUAUAUUGGUCGCCCUAAGCUCUCUCUAUAUGGACCAUCUUUUUCUACCAUAUACUUUUCACCAUAUUUCACUACACCCACAAAUAUAUCACAGAGAGAGCCAAGAGUUUGCUGUAGCAGUGCUUUUGGAGCUUACAAAGGUGUUGCUGUGGAGAAUCCAGUGAUCAAAUUCAUCUGCCAAAUCGGUUUUAUGACAACAAUUCUCUUGUUUAUCUUUUCUUUUGUUAUGAACUAAUUUGUCUUACUAGGGCUAUGAUGUAGCCUAACCAUGAACACUUAAUUUUUAUAGUUAUAUUAAUUUCUUAUUACUAUUUCAUGUUGAGUAUUUUUUACUAUUCUUAAUGCUUCAAAUAUCUAGCUAAUAUUUAAUUGGUGAUCCAAACGGAGAUCGAGAGGAGAUGUUUGGUGUUUGCUUCUUGUAAUAAAUACCAUGUCUUGAUUGAGUGCCCGAGAGGGACUAACAUGACUCAUGCAAUUUUCUUGCAGGUUCUCAUAGAGCUUAAUGGGUUCUUGAUUUUCUAAAUUCGUUGCUCGAGAGAGAAUGAGUUGUUAAUUAAGAAAAUUUUUGGUUGAGCCCUAGAGGGGAUAUCAAAUGAAUUAGGAGAAACCAACUGUCAACAUGGGUAGUAAUUAGGGUUAAUUGGCUAUAAGAAUUAACUGGAGUUGGUUAUGGUGAAAUCGGAUGCUCUAGUGUCUCAUCAACUUGAUUUUCCAUUGUUAAUUAAGUUGCUAUUUUUUAUAUAUGUUUUAAUUUAGUUUAAUAAAUCAAUCACUCUCAUUAAUCAAUUGUUCAAAUAAACUUCUAAAUUAACCAUAAUUGGUACUUAAAUAGAAAUUACAGUCUUCGUGGGAAUGACACUUCACUUAUCUCUAUAUUACUUGUGCGAAUUGUGCACUUGCAAUAAUUUCAGAACCACCUACAAAAUUUGAAAAUUGUUAUGAAUAGUUAUUGAUGAAAUCAUCAGUUGGAGCUUUGUCUUUUUGUUUUUGGAUUGUGGGUGCGAAGUCUAUUUCAAUGUUUUAUAAUGUAGGGUAAUUACUUGGAAGCUGAAAUUUUCUUUGACUCCUUCAAGCAUCAACUUAUGUCCAGUUAGAUCAUUUGAGUUUAUUGUUUCUGAGCUCUUUGAAGAAAAAUCCAAAAAGCGCAGCAGCCUGUCAUGAUUGAAUAUUGUCCCACAUUGAAAAGUUUGGGAACUAGCAUAUGACCUCAUAGGAUAGGAUUAUUUGUCAAAACUUUACCUUGGCAAUUUUACAAACCCACUUACUAAUGUAGUUUGAGGAUCACUUGGCGAAAAAAAAAAUGUAGUUUGAGGAUCAAAUUCGGAUGUUUCAAAAUGGAGAGACCACCAAUGUGGUUCAAGGCAUACCAUCUAUAGAAAGCAAGAAAAGAUCACUGUUUUCAAGUGGCCAAAAUCCAAGGGCAAAAUCACCAGAUGGAGAAAGCCAUGAUGUAUGAGGAGCUAGGUGAGUAUGGUUUCUUAAAUCAAAGAAUCCCUUGGCCUAUUGUUGAGCAUGAACACAGAGUUUUAUUUAAGUUUUUCUUACGCACGAUCACUCCAUCAAAUGUGCAUAACAAUCACUUUGAUCAAACUAAACGAAUCAAACUUGGUUUUUGGAAUUUUUUUCUUAAAAUUUUGAAUUAGAUCAGGGCAAUCAGGGACAAAAAAAUGUGUGGCACAAGGCUCAAAGUUGAAUCCUGUGAGAAAUAAGAAGCAAACAUAAACUAUUAGGAGCUAGAACAAACAUAAACUCAGGCUUUGUGAUCCUUCAAUUUUUAUAGGACAUCGAUUUCGACUUUGGAAAAGCUUUUUAGAAACCUCCUCCAAUUCUCUUAAAUAAACUAACCACUAUAUAUAUAUAAGCUCACAUUUCGUGGAAACUAGCUGGGGGAACAUAAAAUCUUUUCUAAGAAAAGUAACUAUCUGAAUGUCAGAGUGGACGAGAAAGAUUCAAAGAUGUUUGAUAUAGCCGGCCAUGGUGUCAUUGUCAGGUUUGGCUUUGAAUGAUACAUGAAUGUUUCUGUAUGCAGUUUCAUGCACCACAGAACAUAAAAAAUAAAAACUUACGUAAGAAUUUUCACUACUACAAAAAGUGAAAAAGACGACCAGAAAACAACGACGGUCUCAGUGAAAACCGUCGUGGUUUUUAAAACGACGACGGUUCUAAAAACACCGUCGUGUAAUACCACCUUAGACAACUAAAAAGGGAGAUUCAAAUGGCUGUUCAAAAACAACGACGUACUUAAUUAAACAACCGACGUCUAUUUGAAACAGAUUUCCGCAGUGUAAAAUCAAAGCGAACAAAGAACGGCAGAAGUUAUGAAUCGACCGACGUAGAAAGUAAAGACGACGAUUUCAAUAAAAGCCGCCGUUUUUACUUAUAAAAUAACACGACGAGGUUUUCGUAUAAGACGCUGUCUAAUUACAAACAAAUCCACGGCUGUAAAAUACAAAAUAUCGCCGUAUUAAAUUAAUUUACAACGACGACAAAUAUAAAUAUAUCGACGUCAUUAUUGUAUAGUUCUACGACGUUCUCUUUAAAUCGUACUAUAAAAUCUAACGUCGUAUUUAUGCAUUUUAUACGUCGUACCUUUAAUUUAAACCGUCGUCUUAAUAAGAAUUUUUGUUAACAAUUUUUUUCUUUGAUUUUCUUAUCCUACGUCGGUAGAUAUACUUAAUGACAAGAAUUGAAAUAACCACGACGGUUUAUAUAAAAAACCGCCGACAUAAUCAGAUUUUUCUGAGAUCCCAAGGGUUACGAAAUCUUACCAGAUGGAACUCUGUUCCACAUCAUAAUCUUAACAGAUGACACAGAUUUGAAAUCAGAGAGACAAUUUUUUGGAAGUUGAUGAUGUGUGUGCGUUUGUUUAUCUACAAAUAUUAUACCUAACGUCGUUGCAAAUUUGCAAUCAGAGAAACAAUUUACAACGACGGUUAUAUUAUACCUAACGACGUUUAAAACAAAAAUCAACGUCCCUAAACAAAUAUAUUACGUCGUCUUAGUCUUACUUAAGACGACGAAAAACGACGACAGUAAUACAAAAACAGUCGUUGUUUUUAUAUUCUUAUUUUAUUUAAAUUCCAGAACAUUAAUUUCCUUCAUUUUAAAUUUCCUCCGGAAAAAAAACUCUAUUUAUAACGCACUGUAAUUGAAAAAUAAACUGAAAGUUCAAGGGAAAAAAAAUUCUAUUCAUAAUUUAAAAAUUAAAAUCCACGUCGGUUAUAUUAAAUAUAACGACGUUAAAUGAAAUGAGUCCACGUCGAACUAAAAAUAUUGCGUCGUGUUAGUUAAAAACGACGUAGUUAAAUGUCACCGCCGUAUUUUUUUUUUGAAAUGGUUUUAUAUGUAAGCAACUUUUCGACUUACACAUGCACUGUUUCCAAACCCGAUUAAAAAUCUCAAUCUCCCAGAGAAACCUUUUCGUCUUUUUUCCUUGUCAGAGCAUUGUCAGAGUUUCUCAUCGUCUUCCUCUCGUCUUCUUCGUCGUCUCUGAAUUUAAACAUCGAUCAUCUUCCUCUUGCUUUCAUUGCACGCAAAAGGUAAGCUUUCAUUUUCACUAUUUUGGUUACUGUUUUGCAUGCUCAUACGUUUUUUGUUUGAAAAAUCUUUUUACCUUUUUUCUGGCCAAAAUCAUUUUACUUCUUUCCAAGUUUGAUAAAAUAUACAGACAAAGAGGGAAAGUUUCCAACUUUGAAGACAACUACCUCAACUAAAUAAGACGACGGUAGACCACGACGGUUCGUCAGUUGUUCUAGCGUCGUCUGAAAAUUGACAAAGUUGUUUUUAAUAUAAUAGUCUUUUUUUAUAUGCUUGUUUAAUUGCAGGUUUGAUUUCUCUGAACAAUGGUUUUUGUUUUUCCCUUAUUUGAUAAAAUAUAAAGAAAAAGAAACUAGGGUUGGUAUCUAAUAUAGACGAAAAAUAUCUUAUUGUUUUACGUCGUGUGAAUGUUAAUACCACGACGGUGUAUUACUAUUGACGUCGUAUGAACAUAAAUACCACGACGUUAUAUAAAUAAUAGUUUUACCACGACGGUGUAUUACUAUUGACGUCGUGUGAACAUAUUUACCACGACGUUAUAUAAAUAAUGGUUUUAAACAUUUAUUACGUCUGAGAUUAUUUCAUUGCGUCGUCUAAAAUCAUAUCAUACGUCGUAUUUUUUUAAUACCGUCGUUUGUGUUCUUAAUGUUUUCCUGAAAUAUUUUCACUUGCAGUUUUGUCUGUUAAAAUGGUUUCUCAACAACAAACUAAGGAUUCUGGCUCCAAGAAGCUUGGAGUGGUAGCUCCCCAAGACAAGUCUUCGAAGGAGAUGAAGUCUUCGAAGAAGAUGAAGUUUGCUUCAUCAUCUGCUGAGACAGAACCAACCAGCCAGACAACAAUCUCUGAUGAUUCAAAGACUGGUCGAGGUAUGAGCACAAUGCCUCGUGUUGUGAAGAGAAAGCUUCAGAAACUGAGGCCAAUUGUUGAGUACAAUAAAAGGGGGAAAGGUGUUGGCCAAGCACAUAUUGAGAUGCAGUCGUAUAUUGGUGUCUUGGCACGCUCCAGGAUCCCACUUGUGGACAAGAAAUGGUCCCAAAUCCCAAAGGAUAUAAAGGAGCAGAUUUGGGAAGCAGUUGACAUGGCUUUUGUCGUAGGCCAAGGGGGCAAGACCUCUGUUUUAUCUUCUGCUGCCAAAAAAUGGAAGGAUUUCAAGUCUACACUAACGAGGCAUUAUAUCCUUCCAUACACCAAUGACAGGGAGAAAUUAAGCCAACCCCCUGAAACAUAUAAAUUCAUAGAGAAAGCACAAUGGGAUGCCUUUGUAGCUUCAAGGCUAUCCAAAGAUUUUCAGUCUGUGCAUUCUCAACAUUCACAGAUUAGGGAGAAACUCGAGUACAAUCAUCGAUUGUCUCGAAAAGGAUAUGCUGGAUUGGAGGAUCAAUUGGAGGAAACCAUGCCUGGGGUAGAAAUUGAUCGAUCUACCUUAUGGAAGGGAGCUAGACAGGACAAACAUGGUAACAUCCCUGAUCCAAAGGUGGCAGAGAAGGCAAAAUUAAUUGUAAGCCUACUCACUCUGUUUUAAAUUUUUAUUAAACUGUGAAUUAUUCUUAUUACGUCGUAUGUUAUAUUUUUCGUCGUGUGAAUGAUAUUACCACGUCGAAAAGUUUUUAAAAACGUCGUUAACGGUCUAAAUAGGAAUCACUACUCUGUUUUCUGUUAUUAUAGCAUACGACGUCGGUGGUUCAUUCUCGCGUCGUGUGAAUGAUAUUACCACGUCGAAACUUUUGUAAAAACGUCGUUAACGGUCUAAAUAGGAAUCACUACUCUGUUUUCUUUAAUUAUAGCAUAAGACGUCAGUUGUUUAUUCAUUUCGUCGUUUUAAAUAAAUAACCACGUCGGUAUAACUACCGUCGUGAUAAGUUAUAAUAACGUCGUUUUAUAUGUUAUUGCAUCGUGUGAAAUUAUAUAAUACGUCGUUUGUACAUAAAUAACCGUCGUGUGUUUUUUUGUUUAUCUUUGUUUUAGGAUGAAUUGCAGAAACAAGUCUCGGAAGGCAAAGUCAGAGUAGAUGGCAGCAAUGAUGUGCUGACCAUGGCUUUGGGCCCCGAGCAUCCAGGCAGGGUGAGGGGAGUUGGUGCUGGUGUUUCCCCAAGGCAAUAUUUCAAUUUGCCCAAACCACAGAGGGUGAGCUUUGACGACCGUUUGAAGGAGAGUUUAAGAGUUCUCCUUCAAGAAGAGACUAAAAAGAUUGAGGCUAAGGCAAGGGAAGAGGCCUUAAGGAUGGAGGCUAGGACAAAACAAUUGGUAGAGGCUGAGAGGGAGCAUUUCCUGAGUCAGCUUUCCCAAUUAAUUCCCAAUUUUGAUCCAAGCAUGCUUAAACCAAGAAUUAGCCAAAGCCCCAAAAAUCCAAUGUCUGACAAAGCUAGCUGCUCUGGAGGUGAUGUGAGAUCCCUACAUUUGGAGGAUGAUACUGCCAAAAUGGGGAAACAUCAGCCAGAUGAAGAGAAGGAAGAAGAAAAGAGAGAUGAAGAGAAGGAAGAAGAAAAAAGAUAUGAAGAGAAGGAAGAAGAAAAAAGAGAUGAAGAGAAGGAAGAAGAAAAGGAGAAAGAAGAUGAAGAAAAGCAUGACGACAAGGUAUGUUAACAUAACUUUUUUAUUUGUUUUUCAAAAUUUCAGACGUCGAUAUUUUUAUUUAAUCCGUCGUUUGUUUACAACUUAGACGGCGGAAUUUUUUUAAGACGUAAUAAAAUAUUUAAACGACGGUUUUUUCACCGUCGUUUAAAUGGUUUCAAACGACUCUUUAUUCAUAAAACCGUCGUCUUUAUUAAAUUACCACGACAAUUUUUUCACCGUCGUUUAAAUACUUUUAAAACGACGUUUUAUUCCUUAAACCGUCGUCUUUAUUGAAUUACCACGUCAUUUUUUUUAUUUCUUUAAACAGGUUAUUGAAGUUGGUGCUUAUUCAAAAAUGGAGGCGCCAUCUUCUUUAAAAACCCUUUGUCGUUUUGUGGAAACGACACUCCUGCCUGAGGAUAAGACAGUCCAAUUUACAAUUGAUAAGGAGGUGUUUGGUGGUGAGCGCGAUACCUUCCUCCUGCCUGAAGAUAUUACACAAUUUGCAGGCAUGGAAGAAAUUGGAGCUACUGUAUUGGCUGUAUAUAUGAGGUUUGUACUUCUAAAAUAAUAACUCGUUGGUUUAUAUAUUGCGUCGUCUUAACUAACUAACCACGUCGUCUUAACUAACAACCGUCGUGAUAAAUAUAUUAUAACGUCCUCAUCUAUUUCAGUACGUCGUUUGAAAUAUUAUAAUACGUCGUUUUUUUUAUACAUAACCGUCGUGUUUUGUGUGCUGACUUGUUUAUAUUAUUUUAUUUGUUUAGGUACUUACACGAUGUUUUGAAAAAAGCCAAUAUGUGCAGUAUGGUUGGCUUUAUCGACCCUGCUACAGUUAGCGCCAACUCUGGCACAAUAACUGCAAGAUCACGACUGGUAGCAGCUCGACUUCAGAAGACAGACGGUGAACAGAUUUUCAUGAUGCCUUACAAUCCAGGGUUAGUCUCCUUAGGAUUUUGUUUUUAUGAUUUUCAAUAAAUGACAGCUUAUAAACUAACCACGUCGGUGUUUUAUUUUAUUUAGUCGUUUGAAACUACUAACCACGUCGGUAUUUAUUUAUCGUCGUGAUAAAUAUAUAAUGUCGUCGUUAGCUACUUUACUUCGUCGUGUGAAAUACUAUAAUACGUCGUUUUUGUAAAUAACCGUCGUUUUUAUAUAAAUUUUGUGCAGCCGUCAUUGGAUCUUGCUGAUUGUAAGUGCAAAGAAGGAGACCGUCUAUUUUCUGGAUCCUCUGCCAGGUCAUCGUGUGGUCGACGAAGAGGCGAAAAACAUCGUGAACAGUGCUUUAAAAAUAUAUAAUACCCACAUAGCCCGAGCAGGACGUAAAAAUGUAAUUUGGAAAACUCUCUCAGGCACACCAAAGCAACCCAGCAAUGUCGAAUGCGGGUAUUAUGUAAUGCGCUUCAUGAGGGACAUCAUCAUGGAUCCUUCCUUGGGGUUUGAGAAUAAGGUAAGAAGAAAUUACCUUCAUACAUUUCACGUCGUUUUUUGUAUUAUCAACGACGGUCGUGUAAAAUUAACGUCGUUGAAUGGAUAUACUACGUCGGUUAUGAAAAAUAUCGUCGUCUGUGAUUGAAUUUCUUUUUAUUUAUAAACCCUAAUAGUCAUUGUUUAUGCAGUAUGCCAAGGGAAACCAGGAAGCUUCAUACCCCCAAGAAGCCAUUGAUGAAGUCCGGAAUGAAUGGGCAGAGUUUGUUUUCCAAAUUAUUAAACAGGGCAAUUAUUGAACACUUGAUAUUUAUGUAUAAUGUACCAAUUUUCUCUAUAAUAUGUAAUGUAAAAAUUUGUUGAGGUUUUCUUAAAUUAAAAAAAAAACAAACAUACAAAUUGCUUAACCGACGUGUAAUACUUUUCCAACGACCUAAUAAAGUCAAUAACCGUCGUAUUUUGUUGUUGCGUGUUUUAAACAAAUACGACGUAAAAAAAUAGUUAGACGACGUUCUUUGAACAAUUGAGUCGUUAAUGGUUUACAAUAUCUUCAAUUUCUUAAGGGUUCAGGGUAUAAUCGACGACGUUUAUGUAACGACUGCGGUUAAGUCGUAAAAUAUAUAUUUUACGUCGUAUAGUUAAAUAGCCGCCAUGGUUUCUCAUUUUAACGACGUCAUUUUAACGACUUAGUAGUCUAUUACAAUUUACAACGUCUACAAUUUAUUUAACACCGACGUGGUUUGUUGUAUGGUAAGAAUAUUUUAUUAUUUUUAUAUCAAAAUAUUCAAAAUAAAUAUAAAAUAAAUCAGAAAAUUGAAAAGUCAACUCCUAUGAAGUCAUUGAUAUAUUUUCUUCCACAUAAACCUUGAAAAAAUUCAUUUUGAAUAACAAAAAUUUAAAAUGACCAUCCAAAACAAAAUUGUUUUGAUGAGUCAUAAAAUCACUUCUAGUUUUAUGGUUUAGGGUUUAGAGUCUAGGGUUUAGAGAUUAGGGUUGUUAUUUAUUGGGGUUUAUUUUUAAAGUAUAAUUUUUGGGUAGUCUAUGUUAUAUGUUAGGCUUUAAAACCAUAAAACCUUUUAUAAACUUAAUUUUUUAAAUUGUAUAAUUUAAUUUUAUGGGUUUAGGGUAUUAAUUUUUAACGACGGUGUUUGGGUCGUGGAAUACAUAUUUUACGUCGUACAGUAAAACAUACGACAUGGUUUACGCUUUAAACGACGUCAUUUUAAUAUGUAAGUCGGUUUAUAUAAUUUACAACGUUUUUAAUUUCUUAACACCGACGUGGUUUCUCAUUUUAACGACGUCAUUUAACGACUUAGUAGUCUAUUACAAUUUACAACGUCUACAAUUUAUUUAACACCGACGUGGUUUGUUGUAUGGUAAGAAUAUUUUAUUAUUUUUAUAUCAAAAUAUUCAAAAUAAAUAUAAAAUAAAUCAGAAAAUUGAAAAGUCAACUCCUAUGAAGUCAUUGAUAUAUUUUCUUCCACAUAAACCUUGAAAAAAUUCAUUUUGAAUAACAAAAAUUUAAAAUGACCAUCCAAAACAAAAUUGUUUUGAUGAGUCAUAAAAUCACUUCUAGUUUUAUGGUUUAGGGUUUAGAGUCUAGGGUUUAGAGAUUAGUGUUGUUAUUUAUUGGGGUUUAUUUUUAAAGUAUAAUUUUUGGGUAGUCUAUGUUAUAUGUUAGGCUUUAAAACCAUAAAACCUUUUAUAAACUUAAUUUUUUAAAUUGUAUAAUUUAAUUUUAUGGGUUUAGUGUAUUAAUUUUUAACGACGGUGGUUGGGUCGUGGAAUACAUAUUUUACGUCGUACAGUAAAACAUACGACAUGGUUUACGCUUUAAACGACGUUAUUUUAAUAUGUAAGUCGGUUUAUAUAAUUUACAACGUCUUUAAUUUCUUAACACCGACGUGGUUUUUCAGUCGUCGUUAUAUAAAAAAUUCAAAAUAAAUUUAAAAUUAAUCCGAAAAAUGAACGGCCUUACGUUCUUAAUCCGAAAAAUGAAGUUUCCGUCGUGGAAUAUUAAAUUUACGUCGGUACUUGUAGAACUUUCGCCUUGGUUUUUCUUUCGACGUUUUAUAACGCGCGCGCUCUAAAAAUUUUCGCGCGACCUAAAUUUUUUUAGAUUUGGCUCUUAGUCUUAUACUUCGAUCCCUGAAACCUAAAAUUUCAGAUUUCACGCGACAUAACAUUUCGCUCUCUCACUUCUGCUCUAAUUAAAAGUUGCACUCUCCAGGCUCGUCGAAUCUGUGAGCUCGUCCAACCUGUAAGUACAAACCCUAUCUUCCCCUUGUAAAUUCAUUGAAUGAUAUUAGGUUGUUUUGUUAAAGGGUUUUAGGUAUAUGCUUUGCGAUCUGUUAAUAAUGUGCUUAUAGGUAUGGGUUCAUGGAUUUCUGUUUAAUGGGUUCAUGACAAGAUCAAAUAAAGGUGUACUUUUGCUGGAAAUCAACACAAAAAGACACAGAUCACCAACUUCCAAAUGAUUUCCAGCAAAAGGACACCUUUAUUUGAUCUUGUCAUUUUCCGCUCUGGAGAAGGUGCAAAGUGCACCAAUGCUUAUAGGUAUGGGUUCAUGGAUUUUCUGUUUAAUGGGUUCAUGGAUUACAUUAUCUGUUAUGUUGAAUUGGGAAUGGAUUUAAUUUUGUCGUAUCUUUUAAUCACCCUAUGUUAUGUUGAAUUGGGAAUGGAUUUAUUGUUUUCAUGCUUGGUUUCAUGUAUAUGUUGGUUUCUUGCUUGGUUUCAUAUAUAUGUUGUGUUCUUAAUGGGUUUUGUGUUCUUGAAAAUAAACUGAGACACGACGAAUUUUAAGGCGUACGACGACGAUUACACGACGGUUUUUUUAAACUACCGUCGUUGUAUUACUUAUACACGACGGUUUUUUCAUAAACCGUCGUUUGUAUUACUUAUAAUAGACGACGUCUGUUGAAAAUCCGUCGUCUAUAUAUGCCAAAUACGUCUGUUUUUGAUUAAAACCCGUCGUCUCUGUUGUUUAUUACUUGCGAUUAGAUCAUUGUAUAAUCUGCUAUAGUGAUGGUCAUUGCCUGUAUUUUCACUUUAUUAUAGAUAAUAGGUUAUAGUGUCGGAGAUGGAUAAGUCAUGGAUGCACUCGGAUAGAAGAUCGAAGGCAUAUGAGUUUGGGGUGGAAGCAUUUUUGAACUUUGCUGUAGAAAAUCUUCUAACUACAACACAUAUCCGUUGUCCAUGUGUUAAAUGUGUUAAUUUGAAGUUGUUUGGGGUUGGAAUUAUAAGGGAUCACUUAUACUUUAAUGGAAUUGACCAAAGCUAUAAGAAUUGGACAUUUCACGGAGAACCUUGGGAAGCAACUACUAAUGCUAGCAGAAAUGUUGAAGAAGAUGAUGGCCAUAGUAGGUACAGUUUUGUGUCUGAAGAAAUUGAUAUGGAUGAUAAUGAUUUUGGUGAUUUUGGUUCGGAUCCGUAUGAGUUUGCCAAUGUGAUUGGGGAUGGAGAUCAACCAGUGUACCCUGGUUGUAGAAAGUACACGAAGUUAUCGGCAUUAGUGAAGUUGUAUAAUUUGAAGGCAAAACAUGGGAUGAGUGAUGUCUGUUUUACAGAAUUAUUGAUACUUCAAGGCGAUUUGCUUCCAGAAGGAAAUACAAUACCAACCUCCAUGUAUGAGGCUAAAAAGACUUUGUGUGCAUUGGGGCUGAGUUAUGAGAAAAUGCACGCAUGCCCCAAUGAUUGCAUCUUGUAUAGGAAGGAGUAUGAGGAUUCAACUAAUUGUCCUACUUGUGGUAUCUCAAGGUGGAAGGAAGGCAAAGAUGCAAUCUUGAAAGAGGGUGUGCCAGCGAAGGUGGUGUGGUAUUUUCCCCCAAUUCCAAGGUUUAAAAGGAUGUUUCAAUCACAUGAGACAGCUAAGAGUUUGACUUGGUGGCAUGUUGCUAGAAAAUCAAUUGACGGUCAGAUGUCUCAUCCGGCGGAUUCCCCGUCUUGGAAACUUCUUGAUGAUAAAUGGCCUGAGUUUGGUAAUGAGCCGAGAAACUUGAGAUUGGCUCUUUCAUCUGAUGGAUUCAAUCCCCACAGUUCUCUAAGUAGCAGAUAUAGUUGUUGGCCGGUUAUCUUAGUUACAUAUAAUCUCCCUCCAUGGCUGUGCAUGAAACGAAAGUUCAUGAUGUUAACCUUAUUGAUUUCCGGUCCUAAACAACCCGGAAAUGAUAUAGACGUCUACUUGGAGCCUUUGAUUGAUGAUUUAAAAUCCUUGUGGGUUGGGAUUAGAGGAGUGUAUGAUGCACAUAAUGGAGAAUACUUUACACUCAGAGCUGCAUUAAUGUGGACAAUUAAUGAUUUCCCCGCCUAUGGAAACUUAUCUGGUUGUGUUGUUAAAGGAUAUAAAGCUUGUCCAAUAUGCGGCGAUGAUACACCUAGUCACAGGUUGAAAAAUGGCCACAAAAUUUGUUACAUUGGGCAUAGAAAAUGGUUACCAAUCAAUCAUCCAUAUAGGAGGCAACGUGCAGCUUUUAAUGGGAAACCUGAAUAUGGCAUACCUCCAGAGCCAUUAACCGGAGAAGAAGUGCUGCAUAUGGUUGAAAAUGGUGACAGAGUUUGUUGGAAGAAGAAAUCAAUAUUCUUUGAUCUCGAGUAUUGGAAAUACCUUCUUGUGAGGCAUGCCCUAGAUGUUAUGCACAUUGAGAAGAAUGUUUGCGAUAGUAUCAUUGGUACAUUGCUGGAGAUCCCUGGAAAAAAUAAAGAUGGGAUUGCUGCUCGAUUAGAUUUAUUGAACAUGGGGGUCAAAACUGAUUUGCAACCCGAGUAUGGAGAAAGACGUACUCGUUUGCCUCCUGGGCCUUGGAAUUUGUCAAGAGCAGAGAAGAGAGAGGUUUGCAAUUCUUUCUAUGGUAUGAAGGUCCCUGAAGGUUAUUCUUCAAAUAUUAAAAAUCUUGUAUCUGUACAAGAUUCAAGACUUCUUGGCCUUAAAUCACAUGAUUGUCAUACCUUAAUGCAACAAUUGCUCCCUGUGGCAAUUCGUUCUGUUUUGGAGAAGCCUGCAAGGUAUGCAAUAACUCGCUCGAACUUCUUCUUCAAUGCUAUAUGUGCAAAGACUGUUGAUGUUCCAAGCUAGAUANNNNNNNNNNNNNNNNNNNNNNNNNNNNNNNNNNNNNNNNNNNNNNNNNNNNNNNNNNNNNNNNNNNNNNNNNNNNNNNNNNNNNNNNNNNNNNNNNNNNNNNNNNNNNNNNNNNNNNNCCAGUAUAUUUUAGGUGGAUGUAUCCGUUUGAAAGAUAUAUGAAAGUGCUGAAGGGGUAUGUUCAGAAUCGUACUCGUCCCGAAGGUUGCAUUGCUGAGCGGUAUAUAGCUGAAGAAGCGGUAGAGUUUGUACUCAGCAUUUAUCUGAUGUUAGUACAGUUGGAGUGCCUUCAAGCCAAAAGAUGGGAGUUUCAAAGCCAUUAUCAGGUUGCACAGUGAGCGUAGUUGAUCAGGACCUGUUGAAUCAAGCACAUCUAUAUGUCUUGGAGAAUACGGAGGAAGUCCUACCUUAUAUCGAGUACGUAUGAGUUUUAUUCUUUAAGUUUCCAUUUAAAAUUAUUUCUUAUGUUUAUCUUAUAUAUUUGGGACCGUAAUGCUUGAAUUUUUCGUGUCAUGUAGGCAACAUAUGAUCCACAUCAAGACUGCUUAUCCAAAAUUUAGAAAGAGAACAAAGUGGCUGCAGGAUAAGCACAAUAGCACUUUCAUUCAAUGGCUACGCUUCAAGGUAUAUGUUGUUGAAUAACGUAUUUCUCUUUUAAUUUUCUUCUUAUUUAUAUGUUAGGAUGAAUUAAGAUAUGAUUAAUUUGCAGGUUCAAAGUGAACUUGAGGAAGACAAUCAUGGCGUAUCAGAAAAUUUAAGGUGGCUAGCAGCUGGUCCAAACAUGUCAGUGCCAUUAUAUAGGAGCUAUCUUAUUAAAGGUAUUAAAUUCAAUAUCAAGGCACAAGAUGAUGUGCGGACAACUCAAAAUAGUGGAGUUUAUUUACUUGCACAUACCAUGCAAGUUGCUAGUGCCAAGGAUAAAAACCCAAUUCUCUCAAAUAUGGGUUUCUAUGGUGUCAUUCAAGAAAUUUGGGACCUUGACUACCAAAAGUUUACAAUCCCAGUCUUUAGGUGUGAUUGGAUAGAUAGUUCUGGUCUUGUAGUCGACGAACUUGGAUUUACCCUUGUAGAUUUGAGUAAAAUUGGACAUAGGAAUGACCAAUUUGUUUUGGCUUCUCAAGUCAAACAAAUAUUUUUUGUUGACGACCCGAUGCAUCGUGGUUGGUCGGUAAUGUUAUCAAUGCCUAGUAGAGAAUAUAAUGAUGUUAUUGGUGAUGAAGUAUUAGGUGAUGUGAUAAUUGAGUGUGAGCCAUUUACUAGAGGGAUGCCAAAUGUUGACACAUUUGAUGAACUGGUAGGUGAGUUAGGCGGUCAAAAUAUUCGAGAUGGGUGUGAAGAUAUAUGGAUUGAAUGAUGCUUAUGUAAUUGGCAGUGUAUGACAUUAAUUUUGUAAUAUAUUGUAAUGUGAUUUCUUCACUUUCUACGUUCAAAUAAAACACGACGUUAUUGUGAAUCAGUUAUUCAGCAUAUUUACCGACGUCUUAAAGCAACGUAACAAUGAAGAACCACGACGCUAUUGUGAAGCAAUUAUUCAGGAUAUCACGUCGGUGAAGGAUAAAGAACCGCCAUGUAAUUCAAAAUAACACGACUCCAAUCCCAUAAUACCGACGUCUAAAAAACGAGAUAUAUAAUCUGAACGUUAAAAAAUACGACGUCAUCAUACAUUUUCCACGUCGCAAGUUCUUUUAUAAACGAAGAGGAACGAAAUUAAUUCCGACGGAAAUUCAUUAUAACCGCCGUCUAAUAACAAUUAAACGACGUUAUUUGUAAUACGGCUCCCAUCAUAAUCUACGCCGUCUAUAUGUUCUGUAAUACGGCUCUCAUUUAUUUGGAACCGACGUUGUUUAGAAGUUCAACGUCGUCUAUAUUAUUAAGUGCGUCGUGAGUAAUGAAUACAUAUAAAUACAACGUCGACUAUAUAAAUGUAUACGUCGUAAAUAAUGACACUGACAACUAUUUCCACGUCAUUUUUCUUUUUUAACGACGGUGAUUUUUUUGAGUUGGUCGUCUAUUCUCAUCCUCGACUAUUUUCUAGAACUUUAGCAGACUAUUCUCAUGUAUUUAAAGACGUCAUAUUUUUUCUUGUCGUGUAAAUUGUAUUUAACGGCGUAGUAUUUUAGUUGUCGUCGUUGUAUGUAUAAAUUUUUUAAUACGACUCUCAUAUAUUUGUAACUGACGUUGUUUAGUUUUUCAACGUCUACUAUAGAAACACAUACGUCGUAAAUAAUGACACUGACAACUAUUUCCACGUCAUCUUUUAUCGAAAAAUCGAAGUGGAAAAUUAAUUGUACGACGGUUGUGUUUAUAUGUGCGACGUAGUAGGUAUCAAUAACGUCGUCUUCUAAUGUAUUUAAAGACGUCAUAUUUUUUAUUGUCGUGAAAAUUAUAUUUAACGUCGGCGUAUUUUUAUUGUCGUCGUUGUAUGUCUAUCUUGCGGCCUUGUUCUCUUAAUAUGUGUCAUAUUUUCCCUUUUUAACGACGGUCGUUUUAGAGAAUUGGUCGUCUAUUAUCAUCCUCGAUUGCUUUUUUUAGAUCUUUUUGCAGUACAAAGACGUCGUUUUGUAUUUUUUGAUGACGUUGUAUAGUUUAACAACGACGGUUAUUUAGCGUCGUGGUUUAUGAGGGAAAAGAUGACGGUGGAUUCCACGACCAUUGAAAAACCAAAUACACGACGGUGAUUUACCGUCGUCUUUUUGCUUUUUUGUAGUAGUGUUUCAUUGACAAACUGGGAUAUCAUCACGAAAAAUCAAAAGUUAGAUGUGAUAAUAUAGAAAUUAAUGAAGAAUAUGGUAGGACAUUAUUUUCAUUGUGGCAUUCACCACAGAAAAUCAUCUAUCACAAAGGCUUGAUAGCAUCAUAACAUCUGUUUCUGUUCAAAGUUUGAGACCUGACUUUACAAUUUUUUUUUUCUUUUUCUUCUUCUUGUUUCAGCUAAUGGAACUAAAUGGGAAAAGACUUGGGGGAACUGAAACUUGAACUAUUCCUUCAAGCAUCAGCAUAACCUUCUUCUUGGUAGGUCUCACUGCAGGGUUUUCUUGGAUGCACCAAAUGGCCACCAUCAACUUUGUUCAUAUCAUGCAUGGCCUCCAUGUCAUUUUCAAUCAGAGCAUCUAAUCUGCUUUCCAAAUAGAAGUGAUAUGCCCAGUCAAUUAAAACUCCCCUCUCUCCACCGCCAACUUCCACAUCCACAUUUUUCUCUGGCAACAAACAAUUUCUAGAAGCAAGACGCCGAAACUAUACACAUCAACCUUCACAGAGACUGGUGCAGACUUGAACCAAUCAAAUGCAACAUACCCUUUUGUUCCUCUGAUUGCUGUUUAGAAGCUUGGGUUUGAUUGAGCAGCUUUGCCAAUCCAAAGUCGGAUAUUUGAGCGUUGUAAUAUUCAUCAAGAAGUAUAUUCUGAGGCUUUAUAUCACAAUGGAUGAUCUGUGUGCUGCAUUCUUCAUGCAAGUAAACGAGCCCUCCAGCAAUCCCCAAUGCAAUGUGGCUUCUUUGUUGCCAACUGGGCUUGACAUCAUCCCCAAAAAGGAAGCUGGCCAAAGUGCCAUUGUUCAAGUACUCAUAUACCAGCAACCUGUGCAGUCCCUCAUCACAAUAUCCUAGAAGUCUGACAAGAUUCCUGUGAUGUGUUUGGCCUAUGACCUUAACUUCAGCUUUGAAUUCUUUUUCCUUGUCGUUAAAUACUCUGUCCAACACCUUGACAGCAAGUACUGGUCCUCCUGCAUGAUUAGUUUUCCCCUUGUAAACAAUGCCACAUGAUCGCCUUCUCAGCUCUUCAUUGAACCCUUGUGUUGCUUCUAUGAGCUCUUUGUAGGUAAAGUAGCGCAAAUUGCUUCCUGCUGAAGCUUUGUCCUGUGAGUUCCCGUGAGCUUCUUCUGGUAGUAGAAGAAGAAACCCAAGCAAAUUGCACCAACCAAUAUGAAAUUGACAAACACAGAACUACCCAAGAGUGCUGAUCCCACAAUGAUCAAAGUGUUCUGAUUCUUUGCCUUUGGAGGUAAUGGAGGAGUUGGGCUUUGGAGGGUACCACUACUCCUUGAUUUAAGGAAAGUCUUACCGUUAACUCCACUAUCCUGUCUUCCAUUUGAAAGUGGUAGUUUUUUCUUCCAACAUCUGUUGUCUCUAGAAACAGCUGCAGCACAUAGACAAUCUUCAAAGCAAGAUGUUUUGCACGCUUCAACAUUAUAAGAUGUAAACAACUCAUAAUCUGAUCUUGGACAAUCAGUAUUUGUAAGCUCAUCCAUGUAGUACAAAUCUCUUUCAGAACCCUGCCCUCCACCAUCUUCACAUACUUGCUGCAGGAAAGCUGCCUUGCAACCGCUGUACUCAUCAGUUGGAUUCAAUAAAGAAUACCCCACUGGGCAUCUGCUGUUGGUUUAUAAGUGUGAUUGCCGAAAUGUAAUUAGAACAAAAGAAGUUUCUAUUCUUAGUUUAAAAGGCAGCUUUGGAUCACAGUCCAAGUAUGCAGCAGAAAAAAUGUAAUAGUCUUGUGCCACUUGUCUUUAUCUCAUAGGGUAGUUAAAUGAGUGGCUAGGAUUGAAUGAUGUAAUAAGGAAUAUUCCAUUCCUAACGGUUUUGUCAGAGCACAAUAUAUGCAUGUCAUAUUGGAGCUGAGCUAAUACAAUCUUAGCUAGCUUCUUCUCCAAUCUCUCUCUCUCUCUGAAAUUCUCUCCUCUUUCAUCUAGCCUAUCUCUCUGCAUUUCUAUAAGCCUUAUUACACUGAUGAUUGAAUAAAUAUACAAGAUAAUGGUCUGUAUAUGUUAACAUGGCCUCAGAGCCAGGUUUGAUCAAAUAACACUAGGCGUUUAGAACUGUGAGGAAUCGAAGUUUGCAGCUGAGUUUGAGUUUUGGAGAUCUAAGUCUAACAUGGCUGGGUCAAGUGGUGGUGAAUUGAGAGCACCAGUUUUCAAUGGUGAGAACUACGAUUUCUGGAGUAUACGGAUGAAAACCAUCUUCAAAUCUCAUGGACUGUGGGAUUUGGUGAUAGAGGGAUUCGAUAGUACAGAUCUGAAGAAGUCAGAUGAAUCUGAUGCUAAGAAAAAGGAAAAAGAAGAAUCAAGUGGUAUUGGAAAAGACUCGUUUGCUAUGAUACUCAUGAAGGAUGCUAAGGCUCUGGGAUUGAUUCAAGGAGUAGUUUCAUAUGAGAUAUUCCCACGAAUCUCUUAUGAGGAGACAUCAAAAGGUGCCUGGAAUAUCCUGCAGCAAGAAUAUCAUGGAGGUAAGCAGAUAAGAAGUGUUAAAUUGCAAAGUCUUAGAAGAGAAUUUGAAUAUACAAGGAUGAAGGAUGAUGAAUCAUUAACUGCUUACAUUACUAAACUGUUUGAUUUGAUAAAUCAAAUGCGAAGUUAUGGGGAGGAAUUGCCUAGGGAAAGGGUUGUUCAAAAAUUGCUCAUUAGUCUGCCAUCUGCCUAUGAUUCUAUCUGCUCAGUUAUUGAGCAUUCGAGAGAUCUGAAUGUAAUUGAAGUACAGGAGGUAGUAGCCUCGUUGAAGAGUUUUGAAUUAAGGCUGGACAGACAUUCUGAAAACAAAACUGAGAAGGCAUUUGCUAGUCUCAGUGUGGAUGCCAAAUCAGUUAAAGCUGGUGAUCAAAAUUCUAAACAAAAUAAGAGUGGAAAACAAAAGGCAAGAAGUGGGAUAACAAAACAAAUGAUGGUGCUAAAAAUCCUUGCAAGCACUGUGGCAAAUUAUACUUUGGAGAGUGUCGAUUCAAGGGCAAACCAAAGUGUUUCAACUGUGACAAAUUUGGGCACAUAGCCAAAGAUUGUUACAGUAAGAAACCAACACAGCAAGUCAAUUAUGCUAACCAAGUAGAUGCUACUCCAACUAUGUUUUAUGCUAGCAAUAAAACUGAUGCUAGUAUAAAAGGAGGUGAUGAGGUAUGAUACUUGGACAGUGGAUGUAGCAAUCAUAUGACAGGAAGGGAGGAUCUACUAGUUGACAUGACAGAAAUGUGACUGCAAAAGUUGAAAUGGGAAUUGGACAGCUUGUUGAAGUCACUGGUAAGGGCAGUCUUGUGGUUGAAACCAAAAUGGGCAAGAAAUACAUCAAAGAAGUUAUGCUUGUACCUGGUUUGAAAGAAAACUUACUCAGUGUGGGCCAGAUGAUAGAGCAUGGUUAUUACUUUGUGUUUGGAGAUUUACAAUGACAGUUUUUAUUCCAAUUUGAUUGCAAGGAUACAAAUGAGAGGAAAUCGAAGUUUUCCAAUGAAAUUGCAGGCUGAAAUACAUCUUGCACACAAGGCAAGUGUCUGUCACUCUACUGCAAUAUGGCAUAGAAGACUGGGGCAUCUAAAUCUGAGUAGUCUGAAAUUACUACAAGAGCAAGAAAUGGUUGUGGGAUUGCCAGAAAUUACAGCUGUUACAGAAGUAUGUGAGGGUUGUAUUCUAGGCAAACAGUGCAGAGAGUUAUCUGUGGUCCAAUGCAAACAACUACAAAAGCUGGAAAUUGAUACUUUCUCACUUUCAUAGAUGAUAACACAAGAAUGUGUUGGGUUUAUUUCUUAAGACAAAAGUGUGAGACACUGAGUGUAUUCAAGAGAUUCAAAGCUACUGUGGAACUGCAGAGUGGCUAUAAAUUAAAGAAGCUUAGAAGUGAUUGAGGAGGAGAAUACACCUCAGUGGAAUUUGAUAGGUUCUGUGCAGAUAUAGGCAUAGAAAGGCAGCUAACAACUCCAUAUACACCACAGCAAAAUGGUGUAGCAGAGAGAAAGAACAGAACUAUUGUGGAAAUGGCAAAGUGUUUGUUACUAGAGAAGAAGAUCCCUCUUGAUUUUUGGGCUGAAGCAGUUAAUACAUCAGUGUAUAUUUUGAAUAGGUGUCCAACCAAAGUUUUGAAUAAGAGAACACCAUUUGAAGCUUAUAGUGGAAGAAAGCCUGGAGUUAAGCAUCUAAAAGUGUUUGGUUCAUUGUGCUAUGCUCAUAUUUCAAGUCAACAAAGGUAGAAGCUAGAUUUGACAAGCAAGGUGUGUAUUUUCUUAGGCUAUGGAAGCUGUGAAAAGGGGUAUAGACUUUAUAGUCUUGAAACUGGAAAGAUAAUUGUGUCUAGAGAUGUUGUGUUCAAUGAAGAUGCAUGUUGGGAUUGGAAUACACAGAAAGAAAGAAGUGUGAAGAUUCCAAUUGCUGAAAUACCUGCAAGUAAGCAAGGACAAGAAGAAAACAGCAGUAAUCCUGAAGUACAAGGUGAAGAAGGUGAAAUAUUUGGUAUUAGUACUGAAUCUAGUGAUCAAGAAAGAAUGCCAAGCUCCCAGGAUUUUGAUCACACACCUCGCAAGUACAAGAGCAUUGCAGAAAUCUAUGAGAAAUGCAAUAUGUGCAUCAUAGAACCAGAGAGUUUUGAAGAAGCAGCAAAGGAUGAUUCCUGGAAGAAAGCUAUGGAAGAUGAAAUUCUGAUGAUAAACAAAAAUAACACUUGGGAACUUGUGAAUAGACCAUCUGACAAACCAAUUAUUGGUGUUAAAUGGGUCUAUAAGACAAAACUGAACUUGGAUGGAUCUGUGCAGAAGAACAAGGCACGACUGGUGGCAAAGGGUUAUUCUCAGAAGCCUGGAAUAGACUUCAAUGAGACCUUUGCACUAGUGGCAAGACUUGAUACUGUGAGAACCUUGGUGGAUUUGGCUGCACAAAGAAAUUGGAGGCUAUUUCAGUUGGAUGUAAAGUCGGCAUUUCUUAAUGGAGUGCUAAAAGAAUAAGUGUAUGUGGAUCAACCAUCUGGUUUUGUGAUACAAGGAAGUGAAGAUAAGGUGUAUAGGCUUAAAAAGGCCUUAUAUGGCUUGAAACAAGCUCCAAGAGCUUGGUAUAAAGAGAUAAAUUCCUACUUUACUAAAACUGGUUUUUAUAGGAGUCCAAGUGAAGCUACAUUGUACACUAAGAUGUCUACAAGUGGUAUUCUCAUUGUGUCACUAUAUGUAGAUGAUAUUAUCUACACAGGGAGCUCAAAAGAAAUGAUGGCUAAAUUCAAGAAUGAGAUGAUGAGGCAAUAUGGGAUGACUGACCUAGGAUUGCUUCAUCACUUCCUUGGCCUUGGAGUUCUACAAACUGAUACCUGCAUCUUCUUACACCAGAAGAAGUAUGCAAAGACUUUGCUUGACAAGUUUGGACUCAAGGAUUGCAAGCCUGUUGCAACACCACUGGCUGUGAAUGAAAAAUUGUCAAAGAUGGAUGGAAGUGAUCUUGCAGAUGAAACUUUGUAUAGGCAAAUGGUGGGGAGUUUGCUCUACUUGACUGCAACCAGACCAGAUAUCAUGUUUGCAGCAAGCCUCUUGGCUAGAUUCAUGCAUAAUCCAACCAAGAAGCACAUGGGAACGCAAAGAGGGUGCUGAGAUACAUUCAAGGCACUAUGAAUUAUGGAAUUGCGUAUGAAAAGGGAAAAGGGGCAGUGUUAAUAGGUUACUGUGGUAGUGAGGAUGACAUGAGAAGCACAUCUGGCUAUGCAUUUAAUUUGGGAUCAAGUGUGUUUUCUUGGGCUUCAAUCAAGCAAAGCAGUGUUGCUCUUUCAACUGCAGAGGCUGAGUAUAUGAGUGCAGCAGAAGCUACUGCACAAUCUAUUUGGCUGAGGUUUGUAUUAUCAGACUUUGGGGAGCAGCAAGUAGAACCAACUAAAUUGCUAUGUGAUAAUACUUCAGCUAUUGCUAUAUCGAAGAAUCCAGUUCAUCAUCAUAAAACCAGACAUAUCAAUCGAAGGUUUCAUUUCAUUCGAGAUGCACUUCAAGAUGGUGAGAUUGAUCUACUAUAUUGCAAAACUGAAGAGCAACUUGCUGACAUUUUCACCAAGCCUUUGGCAAGAGAUCGAUUUGUAUAUCUGAGGAAAGCUCUAGGAGUCAUUUCAGCACAACACUUAGAAGGUAGUGUUGGUUUAUAAGUGUGAUUUCUGAAAUGUAAUUAGAACAAAAGAAGUUUCUAUUCUUAGUUUAAAAGGCAGCUUUGGAUCACAGUCCAAGUAUGCAGCAGAAAAAAUGUAAUAGUCUUGUGCCACUUGUCUUUAUCUCAUAGGGUAGUUAAAUGAGUGGCUAGGAUUGAAUGAUGUAAUAAGGAAUAUUCCAUUCCUAACGGUUUUGUCAGAGCACAAUAUAUGCAUGUCAUAUUGGAGUUGAGCUAAUACAAUCUUAGCUAGCUUUCUUCUCCAAUCUCUCUCUCUCUGAAAUUCUCUCCUCUUUCAUCUAGCCUAUCUCUCUGCAUUUCUAUAAGCCUUAUUACACUGAUGAUUGAAUAAAUAUACAAGAUAAUGGUCUGUAUAUGUUAACAUCUGCAACUUGGCCUUCUAUCUUCUUUAAGUGUACAAACACUAUUAUAACCGCAUGGCCCUGUUCCGAGUUCUCCAGCUAUUUUCACACAAAUAUUAUCUGGUUCAGUGUGGAUGACACUCCAGCUUUCACUGGUUGUAGAAUUCUUCGGUUGGUAACUUAUGAUGAAAACCCCAUCAAAAUGGAGAGUUGCUCUGACAUAAUACCUCGUAUGUGAGAGUGCUUGUCCCGGUGUUGUAAUAAAAAAUCUCUCUCCACUUCUUCGCAAUAUGUACAAGUAGCCUGACUGAUCAAAGAUGACCUUGUAACAGGAAUUUGUAUCAUUUGCUUCGUCACGACUGCUGCUGAUAUAAUACGCGUCAUAAGCAUAUUUACCUGGAACAUUUAUGGGGUUGAGCACAGCAUCACCAUUACCAAGCAUCUAAAACUGGUAUCUUCCCCUUGAGAAGUUAGUUUCUGUUUGUCUAGAAUAAAGCAAGCCACCUAUCUCCAUUGUCUGAGUAGGUAAUGAUAGGAUUUUUAGUACUUGUGCAAACAGUGUUAAAAAUCACAUAAAAUACUUGCAAGAAUACAAGGCUAUUGUAGUAUAGAUGCUCAUGCAAGGUCGUUUUCCUCAAGGACUAAUUAGCAAUUUAUGUAAAAACAAAUUCCAAUUACUACUUAAAAUAAAAAGUCAAGAAAGAUGAUUAUAAAUUUGGUGGAUUCUAAAAAACAAAUAUUAAACAAAACCAAAUACGAUUGAGAGAAAGAGUUUUGAAUAUCAAUUUAUAAAAACACUAGGGUUUCACCAUCACCUAGCAAUCCUAUGAACUUUUACCAAUUACUUAUGAUUUGCACAUGCCACUUUGAAGGUUAGGUUUUCCUAAUGUAUAUUCUACUUGGAACCUCCAACACAGAACGUAUAUCCAACAUGCAACCCGUCCGGACGUUCGGAUCAAAUCUGAACAUGAAAGACUCAUUAAGUUUUGUGAAAACCCUUUGAAAAACCAUGCAACCUUUAAGACGUGGUGUUCAUCUUAAGUGAAAUUACAAUUAUUAAUCACAAGAAGCUAGCAUCAAUUUCAGGGAACCUUCCGACCAAAAUUGCAUCCAAUUACUUUUCUAAAGAUCCUAAUGGUGAUCAGGCAUUAAGACAAUUAGAUAGUUUAAAACAGUGAUUAACAAUUCAAGUAGGCAUGCACUCAUCAUAAGCAAUUAAAUAAAAAUCACAUAUUCAUGCUAAGGUUCAAGGCUUCACCCUAGCAAAAGAAAUUUAGUUACGCAUACUCAUAAUUGAAAUCCAAGAAAAUAUCAUUAAGAAGAAAAGAACGAAAACACCUGAAAGUUGUGAAAACCCAAAACCCUAGCAAUUGCUCUCCACAAUGCAAAGUUCAAAAGUGAAAAAAGAAGUCCUUGAUUCCUUGUGAGAAAGAGCUUAAAUACCCCUUAAAACCUAGCUGCCAAUGUACAGCUUUUCUAUCCCCACAAGGAAACUAAUUAAAGUAAAAUAAUACUAGGAAAUAAAGUCCAAAUUGGAAUAGGAGAAUUUGCCUAAAAUCUGCCCAGCCACGUUUUGGCCACAAAUCUCCUCCAAAUCUGGCCCAAGAUAGCUUGUUUUAAAGAUAAAAAUGUUCUGAACACUUCUCUAGAAGGCCACGAACCCAUCCGAGGUCAUCUUGGGCUCCAAAAACGCAAUAAAAGCCCAACACAUCACUAUUCCAGCACCGCGCACUGCUCCUUCAUUUUGUUGCCAGAAAAUAACCGCUUGGAAGAAAAAUCUGAAAUUUUGAUACGAUCAAGCUAAGUGACUCAAGAACGUCCUCCAACUGGAAUUACUCCAAAAUUCCUCAAUUUGAUUAUGUUUUGCUCCAGAGAGAGUCGAAAGUCCUAUAUUGGAAAUAUAAUUCAAAGUAUCAAAAUUCUUCCAAAAUAUUAACCAAAAUAUACUAAGAAUGAGGUUAAAUAUAUAAUAUAAAAUAUGUCCAUCAGGUAACAAGGUAUCAGUUGGAUGAUUGAAGGUCUCCCAAAUGACUCUAAAACUUGUAUCAACAAUCAUAAAGUUUCCCAUGUCGUUCAUUACACCGUAGGCUAUUGCAGCAGCUGGAAAUUCUGUCAAUAGUUGUUGAUCUCCUUGUGGGGGUCUCAGCAGAAGGCCUUGGUCGGUUAGCUCUACUUCUGAUUUUCUCAGAGAAGGGUUGCCUUCAUUUGCAUACCAAACUAUGGUUUUCUGAGGUAUCUUGUGACACCAUAUGGCAAGCAAGAAGUGAUCAUUGUCAAGUUUUUGAAACCCCAAUGCAAAAUCAUUGGAAGGUGAAAGCCACCAAGCAGACUCUUCACCUGCAGUGAGAGUACUACCCACACUAAUGUUACCAUUAGUUUGAGCAAUGACAGAGAAGGGCAGGAGCAGGAAGAGAAGGAAGAGAAGGAAGAGCAGAUGAGGGAGAACAAAAGCCAUUGCUUUCAUUUGUACUUUGGAUCUGUCCACUCACAAAUACAAAUUUAUAGAAGAAACAAAAUUAUUACAAUUGGAGAUUUUAGAAAAGUAAGGUCCAAGAAGACUAAGUAAAAGCUUAUGCAACAUAAGAGCAUUUCCACCAGUUAGCUCCUUGCCUUGGCAAGGGUAGUCCUAGGGCAGCUACUAUUCACGUGAAUAGUGGCUGCCCUAUCCCCCCUCAGCAAAGUGUGUUUCCAGCAGUUUAGGCUUGCCAUGGCAAAUACUAUUCAUUUUUUUGUUUUUUUUCACAACUUUGUUUACUUAAACAAUUAAUUUGGAUAAUAUUUUCGGAUAAGAUUUUUGGGUUCCUACGUGUCAAUACUAUUCAUAUCGGAUAAGAUUUUUGGUUUCAAAUUUCAGAUAAAUUUCAAAUUUCAGAUAUAUUUCAAAAUUCAAAUUUCAGAUAAAUUCAAAAUAUCAAAUUUCAGAUACAUUUCAAAUUUCAAAUUUCAGAUAAGAUUUUCAUCCUCUAAGAUUGCGCAACGUGUCAUAUCUAUCGGUCUAAAUUUUUCUAUAAAACCAGAGGUUCAGCUCAUACCUCCCACACCAGUUCUUCUCUACAUUUCCAUUUCUCAUAUUUUAGAUUUCAUUCUCCAUUCUCAAUGGUAGACAUGCAAGAGGUUUUGGAGAGGCAAGAGCUAGAAACUAGAGAAAUGGAGUGGCGUCUCGUUCAACACUACCGUCAGACCCGUUGGAAUAAUUUGGAAUCUCUUACAAUUCUUCACCACCUCCCAACAAUGGGUAUGGUUGAAACUUUUUUUGCCUUGCCCAGUAGCACCAAACCACAUUUGUGCUUGCAUAAUCUAUAAAAAAAAUUAAGUGGAAAUGCAAGAAACUUUAAAAAAUAUUGGCAAUGCAACAUGUAAAAAAAAACUAAUGCAAAUGCAAUAAAUUUUAAAAAAAUGCAACAUGUAUAAAAAAAAUACAAUAAAUAUUAACAAAAUAUAUAAAUUGCAAGAAACAUUUAAAUAAAAAUUAAUAUGACAUAGAAAUUAAUAGAACGAAAAUGACAAAUAAUUUACCUCACUGCUAAGGUUUUCCCCGCUUCUAUGGUUGUCCAUCACUUUUGCCAAGGCAUUUCUCCAUUUUGCCAACUCUUUAUUAAGAAUUUUCCACCUACUAGAUAAUGCUAUUUCUGUACGUGUCGAACCAAUUGCCCUUUCACAAAAUGCCUGAUGAAUUUUUUUUCCACAUAUGAGAAAAUUUAAUCUCAUUGCUCGUUACGGGACAAUGACUAACUUGGACCCAAGCCUCACACACGCUAACAUCUUCCAUCAUGCUCCAUGCCCCUCCAUUUUCACUAGAAGAACCCAUAAUAUGAUAGAGAAAAAUACAACUUGAAAGUGAAAAAAAUAUUGAGUAGAAAGUGAAUAAUAGUAGAAGGAGAAAAAAAUGUAAGAGGAUUUGGUGUUAAAAGUGAAGAGUAUUGGUUGGUAUUUAUACAAAAAAAAAAAAUUGCAGUAAUUUUUGUGUAUUUUUAAAAAUAUUUUUCAAUAUUUUUUAUUUUUUUAUUGCAGAAAAAUUGGUUGCCGUUGGAUUGAAGGAAAAAAUCGAAUCGGAGAGCCGCCAGGGCGACACGUGUAAGGUAGUCGUUGGCGGCUAUUGUAGCGUGUUGUUUCAAAUUUUUUUUAAUGUUGGCAAGUGCAAUGCACGCGCCAACGAUAAAAAAAAAAAAAAAUGAAAGCUGAAGGGCUGACGCCAGCCUAGCGUCAUCCAUGACGUCACCGCCCUCGGGCUCUUUCUCGGGCUAAACUCCACCUCGGGCCAGCCCAGUCUCAUGGCCCAGACCUCUUGCCCGGGCUGCCUUUUGUUGCUGAAAACCCAUUUUUCUGCCAAACCCCUCUCUCCCUCCCCCCGCCAGCCCGAGUCCAGCCUUAGCUGCUGGACUUGCUCUUUAGAAAGCAUGGUCAUUGUUUUCAUAAAGAAAGCAGUGAGGACAAAAAAGACAUGACCAUUGUUGUCAUAGGAAAAAAAAAAGCAAUGAAAUGAAAUUAUGAGAGAAAUAUAGCUGCAAUUUCAUUUGAUAAGACUGCAAGUGUCCAAUUUCAAUUUGAAAUUUUCUUAUUGGGACCACUACGAAGAAAAAGACUGCAUGAAUUAACUGGUUGAAUUUUGCAGUGGGAAUGGGUCAAGAAAGAGACCUAUAUAUUGACCCAAAAAAUCAGAGAGAAAUAGAAGAGGUAAUGUGGACUAAUCUUAAACUAUACUGAUUAAUCUGCAGGUAUCUUUCUUGUUCUUUUUCACAUCCCCAAAUAACAUAGGAUUUUUCAGGUAUAGAUAUCAUUAAGAGAAUUUUUUUAUACAAGCGAUAUUUGACUUUAAUCUAAUCUAAACUACAGGAAAGGUGAUUUGAACUCAUGUGCAGAGUGGGGAGUACAUCCGCUUUAGCCAACUUGGCUAGGCCCAUGUCUGCAUCAUUAAGAGACUUUUGAAUGCAUCUGCUUGCAGAGCCACAGGUUCUAACCAAAAAUAUGUGGGAGUUGUGUGCACAACACACAGACUCCAUAAACUUAAACGACAAAGUUAUCAUCUUCAUACCAAACUGAGAUUUAAUUUUGGAAACUAAAAAGAAGGAUCUUAUAAACAAUAAUUACAAGCGGAAACGACAUCAGAAGGCUGAUUUAAUACCUUAGGAGUCCUUGACUUGAUGUUAAUGGAAUUUGUGAACAAGUACUUACCAAUAGAAAGGACCACAAUCCACAACCAAUAAUGGCCUUGGUUUUUCAGAAACCAGUAAAAAUAAAUAGGCCACAAACUUCAUACUUAGAUUAAGCAAACACAUAGUUGCACUACGUUUUCUUAACAGAAUUUGUCCUUCACAACAAGAACAUUACUUACACAAAAAUUUACAUACACAAAGCCUUCUUUCUUAUCAGUAUGGCCAAAUUAAAGCGAUGCAAAACUACAAAUAAGUCCACUAAAAACGAUUGAUAAACAGAAAAUAAGCAACUUAGUACCGAAAAUGAUUUAAACCUGCGAUACAAAUGCGGAUGGGCAUGGUGGAACUUUUACUUCCACCACUCCUUCAAGCAUCUGAACAACCUUCUUCAUAUUCGGUCUAACAGAAGGGUCUUCUUGAAUACACCAAAUAGCAACCAUCACAAACUUUUCCAGUGUCGUUUUAUCACCCAAGGCCUGAACUUCAUAAUCUACAACAGCAUCUAAUUCUCCUUCAAGGUAGCAAUCGUAGACCCAGUCCGUUAAUAUUACUUUCUCUUCGCAGUUAUUUUCCACAUCAACGCUUCUCCUACAACAAAUGAUCUCAAGCAGCACAACACCAAAGCUGUACACAUCAACUUUGGUAGUGAUUGGCAUGUUCCUAAACCACUCAGGUGCAACAUACCCUUUUGUUCCUCUAAUGGCAGUAUGAGUCUUGCUCUGAUUCAUCAUCAAAAGCUUUGCCAAUCCAAAGUCAGAGAUUCGAGCAGUGUAAUAAUCGUCAAGCAGUAUGUUCUGAGGCUUUAUAUCACAAUGGAUAAUUUGAGUACCGCAGUCUUCAUGCGAGUACAGAAGUCCUCUGGAAACUCCAUAAGCAAUUUCAAUUCGUUGUCUCCAACUCGGUUUGAUAUCAGUAAAAAGGAAGCUUGCUAAUGUGCCCUUGCUUAAGAACUCGUAUACUAGCAAUCGAUGUUGCCCUUCGUCACAAUACCCAACCAGGCAAACUAGAUUCUUGUGAUGUGUCUUACCAAUUACUCGCAGUUCUGUCUUGAAUUCCUUCUCACCAUCUUGUAUCACACCGUUUAGCUUCUUCACUGCCACUUGGACACCAGAACCAAUUUGUAUUGUCCCUUUGUAAACAACUCCGAAGGUACCUCUUCCUAAUUCUUCUGUGAAUCCAUUUGUAGCUUCUUGAAGCUCUUGGUAACUAAAAGAAUGCAAAUUUGAGUCCAAAAUAUUUUCGACAGACCUUACAUGUUUCUUCCGGAAAACAAAGAAAAAUCCCCGACAAGCAGCAGCACUAAACAUAAAACUAACAAAGAUAGAGGCAGCCAGAAUUAUAGACUCCACGCAUAUCACAGUGUUACUGCUCUUCUUCUUCGUCUUCUUGUCAUCUGGAUUUGGCAUUGGAGGAAAUUGUAGAGUUGAAUUGUCCUUUCUGACUUUGAUGAAGGCUUGUGAAUUAAGAUUUACAUCCACUCUCCCAUUUGAGAGAGGUAACUUCUUUUUCCAACAGGUUUCAGACCGGAAAAUAGCAACAGCACACAAACAAUCUUGAAAGCAAGAUUCAUUGCACCUCUCUGCAGUAAAAGGAUAUACCUUUACAUAAUCUGAGGUUGGCCAAUCUGUAUUUGUUAGCACCUCAACAUCAUAUAAAUAUUUUGUGCCACUAAGCUCAUCUUCUUCACAGCCUUGUAUGAAAUCCGGUUUGCAUCCCCGGUAUGGAUCAUUUGGAUCAAGUAAAGAGAACCCUUUUGGGCAUCCACAGGUUGGCCUCUUAUCUUUGAGAGUGCAGAUACUGUUGUACCCACAAACACCAACACCUGAAUCUUCUCUAUUUCUUUGGCAAAUAUCAUCUGGCUCUGACCACCGAAGAGUCCAGCUCACAUUUCCAGUGAAAUUCUUGGGGUGAUAAUAUUGAGCAAAAAUCCCAUCAAAGUUGAGAGUUGCUCUAAUAUAGUUGUCCCUUGCUGAGACUACCUCUUCCCCUGCAAGAUUGUACUUUCCACCAUUCUCUCUCAGAACAUACAAGUAGCCUGAGACAUUGAAAACCAAUUCUUUACCUUCACUACCUGCCACAGUCCCUGAGGUAGUGUCGGUUGAAUAGUAAGGUUCAUUGGCAAAUUCUGUUGGCAAGUUUAUGGUGCUGAUUACAAGGUUCCCAUCUCCUUGCAGAAGCAGCUGGAACCGUCCUUUCAAAUAGUUAGUCUCCGAUUGUCGAGACGAAAGCGUCCCACUUCUUUCAAUUUUCUGUCCAGGCAACAAGGUAUCUGUAGGAUUGUUGAAGGUCUCCCAUAAGCUUUCUGAAUUUCUAUCUUGAAGAACAAAGUUGCCUGUAUCAUUCAUGACCCCAUUAGCAACAACACCAACACUGAUUUCAGAUUUCCAUAGCUCUUCACCUUGAGGACUUUUAAGCACUAGACCGCUGUUGGCAGUCAAGUUCACAGUUGACCCCUUGGGUGCAACUGCAGCCUCAUUAUCCCGAUCUGCAUACCAAACUAUGGUUCUGUCUGGUAUUUUGGCAUACCAUAUUGAGAGCAGGAAAAGACCAUUGCUUCCAAGUGGAAAAAAUCCAAAGGCAAAAUCACCAGAUGGAGAAAGCCAUGGUGAGGAGUUAGCUGCAGUUGCAGUUAGGGAAUCCCCCACUGCUAUGCUGCCGUUAGUUUGAGCAAACACAGAAACUGGUAGCAGAAACAGACAGGAAAACAGAAGCAGCCGUACAGUAAAAGCCAUUGCUAAUUUUCUAGCACCAAUGUGGUUAGGCAUACUACAAUAUCGUAGCCUAGCUAUUUUAUAAUGAAGAAUGGGACCAUGGCCCUUGCUUCCUUGAAAUUUCUUGCUAUAAAUGCGCGUGCCACAUCUUAAUGAAGCAUGAGACGUGCUCAUUUCUAGUUUGUGUAUACUAAUCUAUAUUAACCAUACACUACGACACGAACUUAAAGACCCUCGCUACCGGUCACACACAAAAAUUUCUCAAAUGACACAUUUUCUCCUUCUAACAGCUUAGUUUGAAAGGCAAAUAUGUCAUUCAAUAGCAAGAAUUUCUCACAAAAUAUUCUCUUGUUAUUUUAUUCUCAAAAUUUGUGUUCAUGAACCGUUUUAUAAUUCUACUAAUUAUGUUCGUAUGUGUACUUGGUAUGAUGUUACGUUGACCUUUCUGUUAUAUAUAUAUACACACACACACACAAAAAAAAAGCUUCAGUGGAGAAUUCCUCAAAUAAUAUUUGAGGGGCACAUUUGUAGGACACACCACAUAUUGUAUUUCAAUAAUCCAAAACUGUCUAGUUUUUAGAUAUUCUCUUUCAAAUAUCAUCUCCAAAAAAUAUUUUUUUUUUUCUGCUAAAAUUUUGCUUCUUGUCUUUGUUGUUGUACCUUUAUGAAUAUUUCUCUGUUGUGGUGGUAGAAAACAUUUAGGCCAUGUUUGGUAUGCUUCACUAUGCCUCACUGGACUGGAUUGGAUUAAACAAUACUUGAAACCCAUGUUUGGUAAGGGAGGGGAUUAUCUUAAAUGAGAUUAUAUAGUCCAAUAGUUAAAAAAAGCCCGGACUCACACAGCUAAUAUAGUGAGCCCAAAAUUGGGUUCGCAAAAUAGGACGCUCGCUAUUUUGAACACGCGAGUCCGACUUCCUUAUCGCUUGAAUCAAAACCCCACCACAGAUCCAAUCAAUGAAACCCAACGCUCAUCGCUCUACCCUGGAUUUCUUCUCAGAACGAUCUCUCUUUGCACCCCAGCAACUAGCAGAACCCAAAACCAUCUCUUUUCGCCAUCUGAGUCCAAUUCGUAGUAGUUCCAAAGAAAAAAAGAAAAGCAAAAAAUAAUGAAACCAGAAACAGAGAGAAGAAAGAAGGAAAAAGGAAGAAAAGAAAAGAAGAAAAAAAUAUGGGUCUGUGUAAUUAUGAUACUGCUCCUAUUUGGGUAGCUUCCUUACUUACUGAUGAUGUUUUGGGGAUGUCUAGAAUCCGCUUGAUUUGUGUUGAGUCGGCUUAGAUCGUUUUCAUUCGAACGCACCAUCCAUUGAGCGCAGACAAUGAAGACGGCAAUGCUGGAAAAAAUGGAGCCAUCUUGCUGUUGUUGCCAAAUUGCUCAUCUUGGAUUACAGGUUUUGAUGCGCUGCUUGGUGGAGACCACAAAAAAAUGAGGACGGGCUGGGAAGAGAACAGGAGAACAAGAAGAAAGGAAAGGGAAAAAAAAAAAAAGGACGGGCUGGGAAGGAAAGGUAGAAGAAAAGGAGAAAAAAGGAAAAAAUGAAGAAAGGAUAAGAUAGUUUGGCUUUUAAAAAAUAUUAAAAUUUAUUUGUUUUAUUAUUAUUUAUUUUAAGGUCAUCCUUAAUUAAAAGUAAAUAUUAGAAUUUUAUUUAUUUAUAAUUAAAAUUAAUUAUUAAAAUAAUUAUUUUUUACUCCGACACAACUCCAAACAUAGGUCUUCACUAUUUUCACAAUCCAGCUUCUUAGUCCGACGCAGCACCAAACAUAGGUCAGUACUUAAUCCAGCUUAGUCCAGUCCGAGCUAAUCCAAAACAGUUCCAGGAUUUAGUCCAGUCCAUGACAGUCCGCCGUACCAAACGACCCCUUACCUCUACUUCUCAUCUUUGUUGUAAAUUUUCCUUCUUUCCUCCCUUCUAGCUAAAAAUAUGGAAAGUUGUAUAGAUAGAAAGAAAAAAAAAAAAAGACGGAUACAGCUGGAAAGGAGUCAUAAAAGGGGUGCUGUCAAAUCUGAGCUUAGAGUUUGUGAGGGUAGGGGGGAAGUAGGACAGAAUUGGAAAAAGAUGGAAGAAAGACCCCAUCAAGUGAAGACUACAAAGUCUUCAAGUGGAUGAGAUUUUGAAUGUGAGAUAUUUAGGCUCAUUUGGUAAUGUUUUAAGGGGUUGUUUUUAUUUUUAGAUAACAAAAAUGAGGCAAAAACACGUUCGGUAGCCAAAAAACAGAAAACACGGAAAAUGAUGUGUACUUGUAGAAAACAGAAAAAAAUUGUUUUCAUUCUCAUGGGAAACGUUGUCAUAAAAUAAAUAAAAGUAAAAAAUAUCUUCUGCGUCCGUGUCUCUAUAUUCUUAGUCAUAUGUUCUUUGCCCCAGCUUACCUCUAACUAAAGUUUCUAGUCUCUGAUCUAUUAUGGUCAUGCCCAUAAAGUAAUCCAAGUUGGGCACGACAAAGAACACGACCCACGGACACGAAUUUUCCACCAUGGUUCCAAGGGCAGAACAGAGAAUACGACCUGCUAACACGAAUUUGCCACCCUAGCUCCAAGGACAUAAACAAAGAACAAGACCCGCUAACACGAAUUUACCACCCUAGCUCCAAGGACACAAACAAAGAACAUGAUCCACUGCCGCUGACACGAAUUUUCCACCAUGGUUCCAAGGGCACGACAAAGAACACGACCCGCUAACACGAAUUUGCCACCCUAGCUCCAAGGACACGACAAAGAACAUGACCCACUGACACGAAUUUUCCACCCUUCCAAGCCAAAAUAUGUAAUAAAUAUGAGCUUGUUAACCAUUUAAGUGUAGCAGUCAAAAUUCAAUAGUAAUAAAUAUGAGCGUUGCUACGUAACUCUAAUUUGAUUAUUUGAAGUUGAAGCCAAUUGCCAAUGAAAUCUACGACGCAAUGUUUCUUAACAAAAAUUUAUCAUUUCCAUUACAUAAAUAGAGCAUUCUUUCUUAACCCUCAACCCUAUCACCUUUGGUACUUUAUAUUUUUUUUCUUCUAACAUUAUUGGUCCUUUGUAUUUUUUAAAAAUAGUUUAACAUUUAAAAUCUUUUAGAAAAAAUUUAAUUGAAAAAGAUAAUUUUUUCAAAAAAUAAUUUUUUUUUAAAUUCAAAUCCACUUGGCAUGUUAUAAUUGGACAUAUAGGCUCUAUAUACAUGUUAUGUCAAAUUCGUUAUGUUAUGUUACAAUUUCUAUUAAAUUGAUGAAAAUUUCAACAGAACCUAACAGAUUUGACGUGACAUGUAUGUAGAGCCUACAUGUCCAAUAAUAACAUGCCAAGUGGAUUUGAAUUAUAAAAAAAAUAUUUUUGGAAUGUCUCUCUUUUUAAAAAAAAUUUAAAAAAAAAUUUAAAAUGUUAAACUAUUUUUUAAAGGGUUUAGAGUUUUUCAACAAAACAUAAUGGAUUUGACGCGACAUGUAUAUGGAGCCUACAUAUCCAUUAAUAACAUGCCAAGUGGAUUUGAAUAAAAAAUGUAUGUUUUGAAAAUUUUCUCUUGUUUAAAAAAAAUUUAAAAAAGAUUUUAAAUGUUAAACUAUUUAAAUGCUGCUAUUUUCACCCCCUUGUCCUAUUUUCCCAUCCACCUUAUUUUCUCACCCACUAUAUGAAUUUGGAAAAACACAAUCCUAUCUUCCACCAACCAUUAUCCUUAUGCUAGAGAGACCAUCUUUUUUGUACCACAAUUAUAUACCAUCAGACGUGGCAUGCCAAAUCAUUUAAUAUAGUUAUAUAUAUUUUAAAUUUUUAUUCUCCCCUAAUUAAAGCACAAAAGUCAUUAAAUAUAGCUAAAUCUAUUUUAUUAUCCCCUAAUGACAGCACAAUUACCGAUACCGAUAGGAGUCUUUCUAUCUUCACUCUGUCUUCUUCCUUCUCCCUACACUGUUUUCUCCACAACAAUUUUAUGAUUGCCGGAUUUUUCAUGGGUGUUAAACACAGAAUCAACCCCUUUCCUCAUGUUGGCUGCCAUUUUUGGUUCUUUGUCUCUUAUGGCCUGCAACUAGUGGUCAAUUUCGCAGUAAAAAAAAAAAAAAAAAACUAGUUGCUAAAAUGUGGUGGAAAAAGCAAUUAAUCUGAUAAAAACUUGGGAGAUUCACUAUAAUACCCAAUAUAUGAGCCCAAAUUAUAAAAAAACCUAUAUGAAAUGGACUUUAGAAACACACCCAAAGUCCAUUUACAACAUAACAAAAAGGUUUUUAACUUCUUUUAAAUUACAAAAUUGUCAUUGAUUUCUUAAAACAAACCCAACCCAAAAACCUCAAAAAAAAAAAAAAAAAAACCCAAAACACUUAAUGGGGCAUCAAAGUAAUUUAAUAAUUAAAAUUAAAUUCAAUAGGGCCAGCUGUUAUUUUUUGGGUAUGUUUAUAGAAAUUAAAUAGUGUAGGGUUUAUUUAUAGUUUUAGUGCUAAGAAUGGAUAUUUGACUAAAUAUUUCUAAAAACUUUAUAUCUUCAUGGACUCUCCCUCAAAAAUCUAACUAUACUGUUCUUGUAAAUCUGAAAUAAUAUAAUAUUUAGAAUCAAAACCCAACCACCUUUCCUUGGUGUAUGAAAUGGGUGAGAGGGAGGAGGAAGACGAGGAAAGAUUAAAAAUAAAUAAAUAAAUAAAUCUUAUGGGAUCAGUGCAUCAAUUAGGAGAGAAUGAAAAUUUAAAAUAUAUGUAAUUGUAUUAAAUGAUUUAGCAUGCCACAUCAUCUUCCACAUCAUAUGGUAUACAAUUGUGGUACAAAAAGAUGGUCUCCCUAGCAUUACCCUUCUCUUUAACCUUCUCCUUUGAACUUUCUCCCUUCUCCUUAUAUCAUGUGUCACUUUCUUUAUACUAAAAUAAUAUCAUUAAUGCAUAGCUUUUGUUUUUCAAAAUUACCCUUAUUAAAUAUAUUGACUUUCAUAUUACAUUUAAUUUAUCUAAAAUUUUUUAUAAAUGGAAAAAAUAAAAAUAGAAAUUAUUAAAAUAAUAUUUUGUUUUACCCACCAACCCCAGCCAUAGACGGGAGCAGAUCCGCUGUCCCCAAAUUGGUGUCCCCUUCAUGUCCUCUCUCUAAUUUGCUGACACGUGUCAAUUAACAUAACGGAGAGUUAACUCCGUUAAUUUUUUUAUUUGACAAUUUUAAAAAUUAAAAAAAUUAUAAACUGCCCAAAAUAACCCACCAGCCAGCGAGCGUCCUUUCUUGCUAAACCCAGAGCGUCGUCUUCCUUGGGGUCUUUUAUGUGUUUGGCUAUCUUUGAAGAAUUUGUGAAUUAAAUGGUUAAUUGGAGUUGAAUCUACUGCUGUUAUGACAUAGAGAUUUAGUUAUUUGGAGUUUAACGAUAUUCACGAGGUGAUGGUUGCUCUGUCGCCAACAACCUUCAAGAGGCAGAGGAGAGGACCCAUCACCUUGGAUGGUUUUGCUCAUGCUCUUCCACGGCUUCCCAUACCAACAAGCUUUGAUGCCGUCAAAAGCACCAGUUUAAUGACUCUGCCUCUUCUUCCGUACCCUCCUCCUCCUCCUCCUCCAUCAUUAGUUUCUGUUGUGACCAACCAAGCAAUGGUGCCAAUUGAGUUUGAGUUAAUUAAACCUUGUGAAGGAGAAGAGAAGCUGAUGGAUUUGAAAAUUGCGGCUGCAAUUCCAAAAGAAAAAGAUCUGCUCCAGCAACUACAAGGAAGUGCCCCUACCCCUACACCAAUCAAUGUCAUAGGGUCUGAAGAAGUUGAAUGCACAAUGUGUUUGACAAAAUGUUGCAGCGAGAUGUAUGCAUUUUGCCAGUUUAUUGACUUACUGAAGAUAAAUCUUUUUUCCCCUCAUGAGGGAAAGAAUGAAAUAUGCUUAAUUUAGGUCCUACCACUUAACAACGAGCAAUAUUCAGUUAUAAUUGAUUCCACAUAGUCGCUGGGUUUAGCAAGGAAGAUGACGUUCGCUGGGUUUAGCAAGGAAGACGACGUUUGCAGGGUUUUGCAAGGAAGACGACGCUGGGUUUGGGCAGUUUUUUAUUUUUUUAAUUUUUAAAAUUGUCAAAUAAAAAAAUUAACGGAGUUAACUUCCCGUUAUGUUAGUUGACACGUGUCAUCAAAUUAGAGAGGGGACAUGGAGGGGACACCAAUUUGGGGACAGCAGAUCCGCUCCCGCCAUGGACCCCAUUUCCAUCUCCCAAAAUAUAUUGCUUCUCUUGCCAGCCAUACCACUGUGUAACAUCUUCCUUCCGCCCUUGUGGCUGGGUUGUUUUUUCAAUGUUUUCAUAUUUCCUUCUUAAUGUUUUAAUUAUUAAUAUCCUAAAACUGAUUUUUAAAAUUUUUUAAAUUGCACUUUGUAUUUUUUUUAAGAACUGAGGGGGUAUUUUAUAUCAAUCAAAAUUUGAUAUGCUACCAAACGACAAAAGGCUUAUCCAUUAAUGUUUCGGAAUUUCAGAUUCUCAAAAUUUUGUGUUUGUUAAAUUAUUAGAUUUUUUUUAUUAUUAUUUUAAAUAACAUUUAUAAUUAUUUUUUAAUAGUAAUUCAAAAGAAAGUUAAUUCAUUCAAUAAGGGUAACUUUGGAAAACAAAGGCUAUGCAUUAAUGACAUUGUUUUAAGAGCAUGUUUACGUAUCAGUAAUGGAGAAAAUAAGGAAUCAGAGAAUUUAGGAAUAGGGGAACUACUGAAUCGGUAUGGGAAGAAUCAUUCACAUUAAGCUGUUUACUAAAUAUCUAGAAUUAGCAAAGGAAUGGGGUUGAUUCCCAUUGUUAUUGUUUACUAAUUUUCAUGAAUUAGAAUCGAAAUUAAUUUGAUUACUGAAAUGCCCUGCACAUUUUCACCACAGCACAUAUAUAAUUCUCAAACUGGCUAAAGAAACCAAACUAAUCCCGCAGCAAACUAGUAAGGCGGUGUAAGCAUGAGGACUCAAUAUGCUGAACAAGAUGAACAGUAAGAGCCCAGUUCAAUGAUAAUGUUAAUAACACCUUUGUCUAGAGUCAAUUUCUAACGAAAAAAUAAACUCCAAUAAAUAUAUAUAUUUCACCUACAUAACUAGUAAACAAUCAAAUAAUAAUAACCUGCAUAAUCUUCAUAUGAUUAAAUACAUAAUCUUCAUACUACCUAAAAAAAAGAAAGAUAUAAUCUCCAUAAAAGUCUUUAUCCAUGAUUGUAUUUUGUUUUGUGAUGAAUGUGAAGACAGAAGAUAGAAGAAGAAGAAGAAGAAGAUAGAUAGAUAGAUAGAUAGAAUGGCUUACAUAGCACAAGGCAUUGUUGCUGCUUCUGGGAGGUUGUGUCUGCAACGCUAACGUGAAAAAGAAGUUGGAGCGUCUUGGAACUUCUUGGUGUGAGUUUUUAUUUUUUUUAAAGGUUUAGGGUGUUUUGGAAGUAUGGUAAAGUGGUAAGAGUAUUUUUGGAAGUUAUUAAGAGUAAACAGGAAUGAGAAUCAUAUCGACUACUCCCCCCUAGUUGAUCUGAUACCUAGUUUUGAGGGGAUGUGAUUACGCAUUUUGAGGUGGGGCCUACUUAUUUUUUCAUUCCUGAUUGCAAGUAAACGCAGGCGAAGUCAAGAAUGGAAAUCAUUCACUUUCCUCCCAUACCCAUUACUGAUACGUAAACAUGCCUUAAGAGGAAAAUAAAAAAUAUAAAAAGGGGAACUAAUGUCGUUAAAAUUAUUUCUUGAGCAUGAAAUUGAAUGCGCUAGAUAAAUGGAAAAGCCAUGCCACCACUAGACUUGGACUAGGAUGGUUUAGAGGAUAAGAAAAAUGCAUACAAGGAUGUGAAGAAAAUUAUAAACAUGUAAGUGAAUAAAUUUUUCUUGAUCCAGAAGGAUGUAACAGAGCACACGCCAUUAAAGCUGUGUACAAUGUUUGCAGGAUAGCUCCAACCCAAUGACAUAUAUCGUUGGCAACAUGAUCUUGUUCGAAAAAGUCUUAUGUGAAUUUUUUACGGCUAUUUUUUCUUCUUCAAGAAACUAAAGAUUAACCAUCUCAGGGUGAUUUUAUAGUUUAGACAUGCUCUGGUGGGUUAGAAAGUUCUUCUCUUUCAGUUUUUGAGUUAGAGAAGAUAACAAGAGAGUGGAGAGAGAAAGUGCGAUUUUAGGGGAGACCAAUUUAUUUUCCAGAAAAAAGUCAAACAAUAGACAAAAAUAACAUUAAUUAUUAUUUUAUAAGUCGAUAAUAUAAACCGUUGAUAGUAGAUGAAUCUAAUGGUGUUAAAAGUGUGUUUUAUUGGUUGUGAAAAUAGAGCAUUCUUUCUUAUUAUCCCCAGUAUAUUAUGGCCAAAUAAAAGAGAUGCAUAUAUCUAAGAAGCGAAAACAGUGCAGAACCACAAACUAGUGUGAUCAUAGAAUCAAAUCCAAAAAAAAAGAACAAGAACAAGAUUGAAAAGCAGGAAAUAAGCUAGUACUGGCAGUAAAACCUUAGCUGCAAUGCAAUGCAAUACAAACAAAGUUGGUUUCAGCUUGUUCUGGGGGUAUAUGGAGAUGGACAUGGAGGAACAUGCACUUCCACCACGCCUUCAAGCAUCUGCACAACUUUCCUCAUAGUUGGUCUAAGAGACGGGUCAUCUUGAAUACACCAAAUAGCAAUCAUCACAAGCUUUUCCGGCUUCAUUCUAUCAUCUAAGGCCUGAACUUCAUUAUCUAGAACUAGAACAGCAUCUAACAUUCCUCCGCGGUAGCAAUCAUAGACCCAAUCCGUUAAAAUUGCUCUCUCCUCACGGCUAUUGUCCGCAUCAACGCUUCUCCUACAGCAAAUGAUCUCAAGCAGCACAACACCAAAGCUAUACACAUCAACUUUGGCAGUGAUUGGCAUGUUCCUGAACCACUCAGGGGCAACAUACCCUUUUGUUCCUCUAAUGGCAGUAUGAGUGUGGCUCUGAUUCAUCAUCAAAAGCUUUGCCAAUCCAAAAUCAGAGAUCCGAGCAGUGUAAUAAUCGUCAAGCAGUAUGUUCUGAGGCUUUAUAUCACAAUGGAUGACUUGGGUGCAGCACUCUUCAUGCAAGUACAAAAGUCCCUUGGCAACUCCACAAGCAAUUUCAAUUCGCUGCGUCCAACUGGGUUUUGUAUCAGCAAAAAGGAAGCUUGCUAACGUGCCCUUGCUUAAGAACUCGUAUACUAGCAAUCGAUGUUGCCCUUCGUCACAAUACCCAACCAGGCAAACUAGAUUCUUGUGAUGUGUCUUACCAAUUACUCGCAGUUCUGUCUUGAAUUCCUUCUCACCAUCUUGUAUCACACCGUUUAGCUUCUUCACUGCCACUUGGACACCGGAACCAAUUUGUAUUGUCCCUUUGUAGACAACUCCAAAGGCACCUCUUCCUAAUUCUUCUGUGAAUCCAUUUGUUGCUUCUCGAAGCACUUGGUAACUAAAAGAAUGCAAAUUUGAGUCCAAAAUAUUGUCGAUAGACCUUACAUGUUUCUUCCGGAAAACAAAGAAAAAUCCCGGACAAGCAGCAGCACUAAACAUAAAACUAACAAAGAUAGAGGCAGCCAGAAUUAUAGACUCCACGCGUAUCAAAGUGUUACUGCUCUUCUUCUUCGUCUUCUUGUCAUCUGGAUUUGGCAUUGGAGGAAAUUGUAGAGUUGAAUUAUCCUUUCUGACUUUGAUGAAGGCUUGUGAAUUAAGACUUACAUCCACUCUCCCAUUUGAGAGAGGUAACUUCUUUUUCCAACAGGUUUCAGACCGGAAAAUAGCAACAGCACACAAACAAUCUUUAAAGCAAGAUUCAUUGCACCUCUCUGCAGUAAAAGGCUUUAACUGCACAUAAUCUGAGGUUGGCCAAUCUGUAUUUGUUAGCACCUCAACAUCAUAUAAAUAUUUUGUGCCACUAAGCUCAUCUUCUUCACAGCCUUGUAUGAAAUCCGGUUUGCAUCCCCGGUAUGGAUUAUUUGGAUCAAGUAAAGAGAACCCUUUUGGGCAUCCACAGGUUGGCCUCUUAUCUCUUCUGAGAGUACAGAUACUGUUGUACCCACAAACACCAACACCUGAAUAUUCUCUGUUUCUUUGGCAAAUAUCAUCUGGCUCUGACCACAGAAUAGUCCAGCUUACAUUUCCAGUGAAAUUCUUGGGGUGAUAAUAUUGAGCAAAAAUCCCAUCAAAGGUGAGAGUUGCUCUAAUAUAGUUGUCCCUUGCUGAGACUGCCUUUCCCACUGCAAGAUUGUACUUUCCACCAUUCUCUCUCAGAACAUACAAGUAGCCUGAGACAUUGAAAACCAAUUCUUUACCUUCACUACCUGCCACAGUCCCUGUGUCGGUUGCAUAGUAAGGUUCAUUGGCAAAGUGUGUUACAAAGUUUAUGGUGUUGAUUACAAGGUUCCCAUCUGGUUGCAGAAACAGCUGGAACACUCCUUUCGAAUAGUUAGUCACCGAUUGUCGAGAAAAAAGCUUCCCACCUCUUUCAAGUGUCUGUCCAGGCAACAGGGUAUCAGUGGGAUUGUUGAAGGUCUCCCAUAAGCUUUCUGAGUUUAUAUCUUGAAGGACAAAGUUGCCUGUAUCAUUCAUGACCCCUUGGGCAACAAUACCAGCACCGGUUUCAGAUUUCCAUAGCUCGUCACCCUGAGGAUUUGUAAGCACUAGACCGCUGUCGUCGAUCAAAAACACAGUUGACCCCUCGGGUGCAACUGCAGCCCCAUUAUACCACACUAUGGUUCUGUCUGGUAUUUUGGCAUACCAUAUUGAGAGCAGGAAAAGAUCAUUCCUUCCAAGUGGCGAAAAUCCAAAGGCAAAAUCACCAGAUGGAGAAAGCCAUGAUGAGGAGCUAGCUGCAGUUGCAGUUAGGGAAUCCCCCACUGCUAUGCCACCGUUAGUUUGAGCAAACACAGAAACUGGUAGCAGAAACAGAGAGGAAAACAGAAGCAGCCGUACGGUAAAAGCCAUUGCUAAUUUUCUAGCACCAAUGUGUUUAGGCAUACUACAAUAUCAUAGCUAGCUAUAUUUCAUAAUGAAGAAUGGGACCGUGGCCCUUGCUUCCUUGAAAUUUCUUGCCACAUCUUAAUGAAGCAUGAGACGCGUUCAUUUCUAAUUUGUGUAUACUAGUCCAUGUUAACCAUCCACUACGGCACGCACAAAAAUUUCUAAGUGUAUCUGUCUACAUCGUAGUUUUUUGUUUUAUACUGUCAAAUGACGCAUUUUCUCCUUCUAACAGCUUAGUUUGAAAGGCAAAUAUGUCAUUCAACCGCAAAAAUUUAUCACAAAAAUUUAUUACAAUUGGAGAUUUUAGAAAAGUAAGGUCCAAGAAGACUAAGUAAAAGCUAGGGGUGGUUGCGGUUCGGUAACCGCGAAUUUUUACUCAAACCGCAAACCGACCGACUAUUUGCGGUUUGGUGAUUUUUGAAACCGCAAACCGACCGCGUUUUGCGGUUUACCGCAUUGCGGUAAACCGCAAAAAUGCGGUCGGUUACAGCGAAUUUGCGGUUUAAAACCGCAAAUUCUCAAGCAUUCACAAAAAUAUAAAUUUACAACCUAAAUAAAUAAAUACACAACCUCAAUUUCUCAAACAUAUAUAAAUUCACAAUCGAUUCCAAUUCUCAAGCAUUCACAACCUAAGAAAAUUAAAGUUACAAUUCCAAACAUUCCAAUUAAAGUUAAACUUCUCAAGCAUUCCAAUUUCAAAUCCUUUAAAGUUACAAACCAAAAGCAAAAUGAAUUAAAGUUACAACCAAAAAGAAAAAUCCAAUUCAAAGUUAAUUAAAGUUACAAACUAAAAGGAAAAAUGCAAUACACCAAUGUUACAAACUCAAGUGUUGGUGGUGAGUGGAUUUGAAGAACCCCUUUGUGUUGUUUGAGCACCAAUGCUAUCUACAAAUAAAACAACAUAGUUUAGUACAUUUUAUUAUAAGAAGAAGCAUAAAUAACAUUAGCAUAAAUAAACUAAUUACUUACAAGUUGUCAUAUCUUCCAUUUCCUUGUAGAAUUCAACCUCAUCAUCCGUUGGUUCCUUGUAAAAGGAAAAUUCGUCCGCUCUAAGCCAAUCACUAGUACACACUAAUGCCUCUACCAUUUUAGGAUGCAAAGAGCUUCUAAAAGGAUCCACAAUCCUCUUGCCUAGGCUAAAAGCAUUUUCACUAGCAACCGUAGAACUUGGAAUUGCAAAGAUAUCCUUGGCAACUUGUGAAAGAAUAGGAUAUCUUGUUUGGUUCCCUCACGGCUACAGAGAGAGAAGAGAAGGGUUUACAAUUUUACUUAAUUAUUCAUAGAGUAUAGCCAUGCGGCUAUACUUUGCGGUUUGCGGUAACCGCAAAUUUUGAAAAUCAAAUACCGCAACCGCAACCGCAAAUGCGGUUCGGUUCUUAAUACCGCGAUUGCGGUUCGGUUUACCGCGAUUGCGGUUUUAUUGCGGUAAAAUAUCGGUUGGUUUUUGCAGUUUUUCGGUUUUUCGGUUUAAAAUGCCACCCCUAGUAAAAGCUUAUGCAACAUAAAGAAAGCAUGGUCAUUGUUUUCAUAAAGAAAGCAGUGAGGACAAAAAAGACAUGACCAUUGUUGUCAUAGGAAAAAAAAAAAAGCAAUGAAAUGAAAUUAUGAGAGAAAUAUAGCUGCAAUUUCAUUUGAUGAGACUGCAAGUGUCCAAUUUCAAUUUGAAAAUUUCUUAGUGGGACCACUACGAAGAAAAAGACUGGUUGAAUUUUGCAGUGGGAAUGGGUCAAGAAAGAGACCUAUUGACCCAAAAAAUCAGAGAGAAAUAGAGGACGUAAUAGAGGAGGUAAUGUGGACCACUGGGGUUCGAACAACUUAAACUCAACGCACACUGGGGUUCGAACCCCUCUCAACUCCAAAUUUUUGCAGCCACUUAACCACUACGCUGUUGAUGACUUUGUGAUUAUAAACUACGGAAUCUAGUAUAUAUAAUACUUGCAAGAAUUUCAAAAAUCUUGAACUUUUAAAAAUUAAACAACUUAAACUCAACGCACACUGGGGUUCGAACCCCUCUCAACUCCGAAUUUUUGCAACCACUUAACCACACACUGCUGAUGACUUUGUGAUUAUAAACUAUGGAGUAUAGUAUACAUAAUACUUGAGAGACUUUCACAAAUGAAACAAUUUAAACUCACUCACGCUCUCGCACACAAUGGGGUUUGAACCCCUCUCCACUCCGAAAUUUGCAGCCACUUCACCACCACGUUGCUAAUAACUUUGUGAUUAUAAACUAUGGAAUCUAGUAUAUAUAAUACUUGCGACACUUUCAAAAAUUAAACAAUUUAAACUCACUCACGCUCUCGCACACAAUUGGGUUCAAACCUCUCUCCACUCCGGAAUUUGCAGCCAUUUCACCACCACGCUGCUCAUAACUUUGUGAUUAUAAACUAUGGAAUCUAGUAUAUAUAAUACUUGCAAGACUUUCAAAAAUUAAACAAUUUAAACUCACUCAUGCUCUCGCACACAAUGGGGUUUGUACCCCUCUUCACUCUGGAAUUUACAGCCGCUUCACCACCACGCUGCUCAUAACUUUGUGAUCAUAAACUAUGGAAUCUAGUAUAUAUAAUACUUGCGAGCUGCUUUUCAAGUUUCAACUUUUCAUAGGAACUCUAUGUGGUACUAAGUCACUUAUGUAUCUUACCAUGCAAUGUAUAAAAUGUAAAAUAUUGUAGUAAAUCAUUAUAUAUAAAUGAUUGUGGUGUGUUUAAUCAUUUUCCAUUAAUUACUACAUAUUUUCUACACUCACGGUGUUUGUCAGCUCGCUAUAUAAUCAAAUUAAAUUAGUUAAAUCCAUCAUGCAAUGCAUUUCCUUCCAAUUUUUUGUGAUAAACUAAUAGAUAAUUGACUAAAUAAGCAUCCUCCAAAGUUUCAAUAAAAAUGUCCAAGUUUUUCUUACAAUUUUCGUGGUUUUUAGUCAAUUUUUAUCGAUAUCGAUAAUAUCCCGAUAUUUCCAUCGAAAUUUUCGUGUUUUUGGACUACCGAUAUUUCCGAUAUCACCGAUAUUUUAGACCUUGAUGUGGACUAAUCUUAAACUAUACUGAUUAAACUGCAGGUAUCUUUCUUGUUCUUUUUCACAUCCCCAAAUAACAAAGGAUUUUCAAGUAGAGAUAUCAUUAAGAGAAUUUUUUUAUACAAGCGAUAUUUGACUUUAAUCUAAUCUAAACUACAGGAAAAGUGAUAAGUGUAUUAUUUCCUAUAUUUUUAUACCUUUUAUAUAUAUCGGUUUUGUAGGGAAAGUUAAUUAAAAAGAGUAUUAUUACUUUACUUUCCUUAUUUUCAGCUAUUCUGCACUCUUGGAAGGAUUUCAACUGAAAGUCAACUUUUCGAAUGAAUUUUAGUGCAAGGCCAAUUGUAGAAGAAAGCUAAGACAUUGAAGAUCGUUGUAUCAAAGUUUCAUAAUUUUCUACCAAGCCAAAUGCACCAGACCUGCAAGUCAAGACAGCCUAAGUUGAAAUCCCGUUAGAACUGCACUGCUGUGGAAGAUUGAAGAUUUGAAUAGCUUUCCGAUUUUUCCUAGUGGCGUGUGAUAUAUGCUUGGAAAGCUUAGAGAUAAAGCUACGUUUCUCAUAUUUUUCCAGAAUUUUAUAGGAAGUGGAAUGACCCAAAACAUGCAUGCAAGUUGGCUGACGUGUUUCCUAGUCAAAGAAGGAUUCUUUCCUAGUUUGUUUCCUUAAUUGUUUGAGAUUUUGUUUUGCUUUAGGAGAGUUUCUCUAGACCUUUUUAGAGUAGGGUUUAGUUAUUUUACACUGUAUAAGGUCACCCUAAGGAUCUCUUCAGAGGAUCAUAUUUCCUAUCAUCUUCCCAUAUACAACUUUCAUACACCAACAAAUAUAUCAGAGAGAGAGCCAAGAAUUUGUUGUCGCUGUGUUGCUGUGGAGAAUCCAGAGAUCAAUUCCAUCUGCCAAAUCAGUUUUAUGACAACAAUUUUCUUGUUUAUCUUUUCUUUUGUCAUGAACUAAUUUUCCUUGCUAGGGCUACGAUGUAGCCUAACCAUGAAUACUUAAUUUUUAUAGUUAUAUUAAUUUUUCAUUACUAUUCCAUGUUGAGUAUUUGUUAUUGUUCUUAAUGCUUUGAAUAUCUGGCCAAUAUUUAAUUGAUUUGAUGAUCCAAGCGGAGACCGAGAUGAGAUGUUUGGUGUUUGCAUCUUAUAACAGAUACCAUGUCUUGAAUGAGUGCCCGAGAGGGACUAACAUGACUCAUGCAGUUUUCUUGUAGGUUCUCAUAGAACUUAAUGGGUUCUUGAUUUUCUAAAUCCAUUGCUCGAGAGAGAAUGGGUUGUUAAUUAAGAAUACAUUUGGUUGAGCCCGAAAGGGGAUAUUGAAUGAAUUAGGAGAAACCAACUGUCAACAUGGGUAGUAAUUAGGGUUAAUUGGCUAUAAGAAUUAAGUGGAAUUGGUUAUGUGAAAUCAGAUGCUCUAGUGUCUCAUCAUCUUGAUUUUCCAACAUUAAUUAAAGUGCUAUUUUUCAUAAUUGUUUUAGCUUACUUAAAUCAAUCAAUCUUCUUAAUCAACUGUUCAAAUAAAUUCUAAAUUAAUCAUAAUUAGUAGUUAAUAGGAAAUUGCAAUCUUUGUGAGAACGACACUCUACUUAUUUCUAUAUUACUUGUAUGAAUUGUGCGCUUGCAAUAAUUUCACAACAAGUUUUUGGCGCCGUUGCUGGGGACUGUUUUAUUUUCUAUUAAUAUCAAUAUAUUUUAAUUCGGAGUUUAAUUUGAAUUUAUUUUAUUUUUUAUUUUCAGGUACGUUGAAUUUUUCCGACACUGCCACCUAUGGCGGACGAAGCAGAAGGAGCAGUGAGGGAAUUUGGCCCCUCAGUGGCAACUCCCUCAGCGAUCCGACGUCCUACUAUUGCAGCCAACAAUUUUGAUAUCAAACCAGCCAUGAUCACCAUGCUGCAGAAUUCAUCCGUAUUUUGUGGUUUGCCGAAUGAAGAUCCCAAUAUACAUCUUGCGAUAUUUUUGGAGAUUUGUGACACGUCCAAAUUCAACGGGGUACCUGACGAUGCGAUUCGUUUAAGGCUAUUCCCCUUCUCCUUGAAAGAUAAAGUCAAACUUUGGUUACUGUCACAGCGACAAGACUCCAUCCGUACUUGGGAUGAUUUAUCUAAGAAAUUCCUGGCUAAAUUUUUCCCACCAGCCAAAACUGCAAAAUUCCGACGAGAUAUUAUGUCAUUCGCUCAAUAUGAAAAGGAGCCUCUAUAUGAAGCCUGGGAACGAUUCAAAGAUUUAUUGCGCAAGUGUCCUCACCAUGAGCUACCAACCUGGAUUCAAGUUCAAACUUUCUACAAUGGGUUGAGUCAAACAAGCAGGACAUUAGUUGAUGCAGCUGCUGGAGAGGCUUUAAUGGCAAAAACGGCUACCGAAGCAUUUGAAUUAUUGGAGACCAUGCCAUCCAACAACUACCAAUGGCCGAGUGAAAGAAUGAAUCCGAAACCAGCAGGGUCUUGGAAGUCGAUGCCAUGGCCUUGCUAACAGCACAAAUUUCUAACCUUACUAAAAAAGUUGAUUCUUUAAGUGUUAAUGCUAUAAACACUAAUACUAAUUUUGGUUGUGAAUUUUGUGCAGGCCCUCAUCCAAGUUCAGAGUGCACCACAAGGAACCCAUUCGCGUCCGUUGAGCAAGUAAAUCAAGUUGUAGAAUUUAAUCGACAAAGGAAUGAUCCUUAUUCCAACAUGUACAACCCCGGUUGGCAAAACCAUCCAAAUUUUUCAUGGAGCAAUACUCAGAAUGUGCAGAGAUCACCACCUGGCUUUCUGGUUCAAGAAAAGAAAAUAAAUUUGGAAGAUGCGCUUACCCAGUUGACUAUGUCUACCACCCAAUUUAUGACGGAAACAAAAAUCCAGUUUCAGAAUCAAAGCGUUUCUAUUCGAAAUUUGGAGAUGCAAGUAGGCCAACUAGCUAAUGUAUUGAGUGGAAGAAAUCAAGGAGUAUUGCCAAGCCAACCCGUAAUUAAUCUGAAAAAUCAAGAACAAGUAAUGGCAAUCACAAUUCGGGAAAAGAAGCAAGUAAAUACAGCGGUCAACUUGAAAAAGAAAAAUUAGAAAAAGAGAAAGAAGCUGAGAAAUCCCAAGAAGAAGAAAAUUAUGUUGUUAUGCCGACUCAUUCUCCUCCAUUGAAGCCAUAUGUCCCACCGAUCCCUUUUCCGCUGAGGCUGAAGAAAAAUAAAAUUGAUAAGCAAUCUUCUAAUUUCUUGGAGACGUUCAAAAAGGUGCAAAUCAACAUUCCAUUCGCUUCAGCUUUGGAACAAAUGCCAAGUUCUGAAAAAUUCAUGAAAGACAUCCUCUCGAAGAAAAGGAAAUUUGGUGAUCAUGAGAAAAUCCAACUGACUGAGGAAUGUAGUGCCAUCCUACAACAAAAGCUUCCACCAAAGAAAAAAGAUAGAGGGAGUUUUAAAAUUCCAUGCACUAUUGGAAAUAAUUUCUUUGAAAAAGUUUUAUGUGAUUUAGGUUCUAGCAUUAAUUUACUACCUUUAUAUGUUGCUAAAAAGAUUGGUAUUAGUGAAAUUAAACCAACUACUGUCUCUUUGCAAAUGGCGGACAAAUCAAUCACUUAUCUUGAUGGAAUUAUUGAAGAUGUUCUAGUAAAAGUUGAUACACUCAUAUUUCCGACUGAUUUUCUGGUUUUGGAUAUGGAAGAAGAUCCUGAAACACAAUUAAUUUUGAGCCGUCCAUUCCUGAUUACUGGACGAACUCUGAUUGACGUGGAAGAAGGGCUACUAACUGUCAGAGUUGUGAAUGAAAAAGCGACAUUCAAAGUUUUUGAACCGAUAACAUUUCACGGAAAAGCAAAGGAAAAUGAGACUCUGAGCCAUCCAUCUCCAAAGUUGACAAACCAAGGGUUCCCGGAUCUACCUUGUACUUGUAUGAACUAAAACCAUAUGACCCAGGAAGGAAUGAAUUAGAGGAACUUCAAAAUAAAUCAUACGAGAGUGCGAGACUUUUCAAGGACCAUACAAAGAAGGGGCAUGACAAGCAUAUUAAGAAUGACCACUACUACAAAAAAGCAAAAAGACGACGGUAAAUCACCGUCGUGUAUUGAGUUUUUCAAUGGUCGUGGAAUCCACCGUCAUCUUUUCUCUCAUAAACCACGACGCUAAAUAACCGUCGUUGUUAAAAUAUACAACGUCAUCAACAAAUACAAAACGACGUCUUUGUACUGCAAAAAGAUCUAAAAAAAGCAAUCGAGGAUGAUAAUAGACGACCAACUCUCUAAAAAACACGUCGUUAAAAAGGAAAAAUAUGACACAUAUUAAGAGAACAAGGCCGCAAGAUAGACAUACAACGACGAAAAUAAAAAUACGACGACGUUAAAUAUAAUUUUCACGACAAAUAGUUGUCAGUGUCAUUAUUUACGACAAAUGUGUUUAUAGAUUAGACGUUGAAAAACUAAACAACGUCGGUUCCAAAUAUAUGAGAGUCGUAUUACAAAAUUUAUACGUCCUAUUUUCAGAAACAAACAACGACGACAAAUAUUAGACGUUGUUAAAUAAAACCACGUCGGAAAAAAAUAAAAACAGACGUGUUUAGUCUGCUAAAGUUCUAGAAAAUAGUCGAGGAUGAGAAUAGAUGACCUACUCAAAAAAAUCACCGUCGUUAAAAAGGAAAAAUAUGACACAUAUUAAAAGAACAAGGCAGCAAGAUAUACAUACAACGACGAUAACUAAAAUACUAUGCCGUUAAAUAUAAUUUACACGACAAGAAAAAAUAUGACGUCUUUAAAUACAUGAGAAGACGACGUUAUUGAAAUCUACUACGUCUCUUAUUUACAAAAAACCGUCGUGAAAUAAAUUUUCCACUUCGAUUUUUCUAAAAAAGAUGACGUGGAAAUAGUUGUCAGAGUCAUUAUUUACGACGUACACAUUUAUAUAGUCGACGUUGUAUUUAUAUCUAUCAUCAUCACUCACGACGCACUUAAUAAUAUAGACGACGUUGAACUUCUAAACAACGUCGGUUCCAAAUAAAUGAGCGCCGUAUUACAGGACAUAUAGACGGCGUUGAUUAUGAUGAGAGCCGUAUUACAAAUAACGUCGUUUAAUUGUUAUUAGACGGCGGUUAUAAUGAAUUUCCGUCGGAAUUCAUUUCGUUCCUCUUCGUUUAUAAAAGAACUUGCGACGUGGAAAAUGUAUGAUGACGUCGUAUUUUUUAACGUUCAGAUUAUAUAUCUCAUUUUUUAGACGUCGGUAUUAUGGGAUUGGAGUCGUGUUAUUUUGAAUUACAUGGCGGUUCUUAAUCCUUCCCCGACGUGAUAUCCUGAAUAAUUGCUUCACAAUAGCGUCGUGGUUCUUCAUUGUUACGUUGCUUUAAGACGUCGGUAAAUAUGCUGAAUAACUGGUUCACAAUAACGUCGUGUUUUAUUUGAACGUAGAAAGUGAAGAAAUCACAUUACAAUAUAUUACAAAAUUAAUGUCAUACACUGCCAAUUACAUAAGCAUCAUUCAAUCCAUAUAUCUUCACACCCAUCUCGAAUAUUUUGACCGCCUAACUCACCCACCAGUUCAUCAAAUGUGUCAACAUUUGGCAUCCCUCUAGUAAAUGGCUCACACUCAAUUAUCACAUCACCUAAGACUUCAUUACCAAUAACAUCAUUAUAUUCUCUAUUAGGCAUUGAUAACACUACCGACCAACCACGAUGCAUCGGGUCGUCAACAAAAAAUAUUUGUUUGACUUGAGAAGCCAAAACAAAUUGGUCAUUCCUAUGUCCAAUUUUACUCAAAUCUACAAGGGUAAAUCCAAGUUCGUCGACUACAAGACCAGAACUAUCUAUCCAAUCACACCUAAAGACUGGGAUUGUAAACUUUUGGUAGUCAAGGUCCCAAAUUUCUUGAAUGACACCAUAGAAACCCAUAUUUGAGAGAAUUGGGUUUUUAUCCUAGGCACUAGCAACUUGCAUGGUAUGUGCAAGUAAAUAAACUCCACUAUUUUGAGUUGUCCGCACAUCAUCUUGUGCCUUGAUAUUGAAUUUAAUACCUUUAAUAAGAUAGCUCCUAUAUAAUGGCACUGACAUGUUUGGACCAGCUGCUAGCCACCUUAAAUUUUCUGAUACGCCAUGAUUGUCUUCCUCAAGUUCACUUUGAACCUGCAAAUUAAUCAUAUCUUAAUUCAAUCUAACAUAUAAAUAAGAAGAAAAUUAAAAGAGAAAUAUGUUAUUCAACAACAUAUACCUUGAAGCGUAGCCAUUGAAUGAAAGUGCUAUUGUGCUUAUCCUGCAGCCACUUUGUUCUCUUUCUAAAUUUUGGAUAAGCAAUCUUGAUGUGGAUCAUAUGUUGCCUACAUGACACGAAAAAUUCAAGCAUUACGGUCCCAAAUAUAGAAGAUAAACAUAAGAAAUAAUUUAAAAUGGAAACUUAAAGAAUAAAGCUCAUACGUACUCGAUAUAAGGUAGGACUUCCUCCGUAUUCUCCAAGACAUAUAGAUGUGCUUGAUUCAACAGGUCCUGAUCAACUACGCUCAUUGUGCAACCUGAUAAUGGCUUUGAAAGUCCCAUCUUUUGGCUUGAAGGCACUCCAACUGUACUAACAUCAGAUAAAUGCUGAGUACAAAACUCUACCGCUUCUUCAGCUAUAUACCGCUCAGCAAUGCAACAUUCGGGACGAGUACGAUUCUGAACAUACCCCUUCAGCACUUUCAUAUAUCUUUCAAACGAAUACAUCCACCUAAAAUAUACUGGCCCACAUAGACGAACUUCUCUGACAAGAUGUACUACUAGAUGAACCAUGAUAUCAAAGAAUGAAGGGGGAAAGUACUUCUCAAGCAAACACAGAGUAACUACUACAUCUUCUUCCAACUUAUCUAGCUUGGAAACAUCAACAGUCUUUGCACAUAUAGCAUUGAAGAAGAAGCACAAACGAGCUAUUGCAUACCUUGCAGGCUUCUCCAAAACAGAACGAAUUGCCACAGGAAGCAAUUGUUGCAUUAAGGUAUGACAAUCAUGUGAUUUAAGGCCAAGAAGUCUUGAAUCUUGUAAAGAUACAAGAUUUUUAAUAUUUGAAGAAUAACCUUCAGGGACCUUCAUACCAUAGAAUGAAUUGCAAACCUCUUUCUUCUCUGCUCUUGACAAAUUCCAAGGCCCAGGAGGCAAACGAGUACGUCUUUCUCCAUACUCGGGUUGCAAAUCAGUUUUGACCCCCAUGUUCAAUAAAUCUAAUCGAGCAGCAAUCCCAUCUUUAUUUUUUCCAGGGAUCUCCAGCAAUGUACCAAUGAUACUAUCGCAAACAUUCUUCUCAAUGUGCAUAACAUCUAGGGCAUGCCUCACAGGAAGGUAUUUCCAAUACUCGAGAUCAAAGAAUAUUGAUUUCUUCUUCCAACAAACUCUGUCACCAUUUUCAACCAUAUGCAGCACUUCUUCUCCGGUUAAUGGCUCGGGAGGUAUGCCAUAUUCAGGUUUCCCAUUAAAACCUGCACGUUGCCUCCUAUAUGGAUGAUUGAUUGGUAACCAUUUUCUAUGCCCAAUGUAACAAAUUUUGUGGCCAUUUUUCAACCUGUGACUAGGUGUAUCAUCGCCGCAUAUUGGACAAGCUUUAUAUCCUUUAACAACACAACCAGAUAAGUUUCCAUAGGCGGGGAAAUCAUUAAUUGUCCACAUUAAUGCAGCUCUGAGUGUAAAGUAUUCUCCAUUAUGUGCAUCAUACACUCCUCUAAUCCCAACCCACAAGGAUUUUAAAUCAUCAAUCAAAGGCUCCAAGUAAACGUCUAUAUCAUUUCUGGGUUGUUUAGGACCGGAAAUCAAUAAGGUUAACAUCAUGAACUUUCGUUUCAUGCACAGCCAUGGAGGGAGAUUAUAUGUAACUAAGAUAACCGGCCAACAACUAUAUCUGCUACUUAGAGAACUGUGGGGAUUGAAUCCAUCAGAUGAAAGAGCCAAUCUCAAGUUUCUCGGCUCAUUACCAAACUCAGGCCAUUUAUCAUCAAGAAGUUUCCAAGACGGGGAAUCCGCCGGAUGAGACAUCUGACCGUCAAUUGAUUUUCUAGCAGCAUGCCACCAAGUCAAACUCUUAGCUGUCUCAUGUGAUUGAAACAUCCUUUUAAACCUUGGAAUUGGGGGAAAAUACCACACCACCUUCGCUGGCACACCCUCUUUCAAGAUUGAAUCUUUGCCUUCCUUCCACCUUGAGAUACCACAAGUAGGACAAUUAGUUGAAUCCUCAUACUCCUUCCUAUACAAGAUGCAAUCAUUGGGGCAUGCGUGCAUUUUCUCAUAACUCAGCCCCAAUGCACACAAAGUCUUUUUAGCCUCAUACAUGGAGGUUGGUAUUGUAUUUCCUUCUGGAAGCAAAUCGCCUUGAAGUAUCAAUAAUUCUGUAAAACAGACAUCACUCAUCCCAUGUUUUGCCUUCAAAUUAUACAACUUCACUAAUGCCGAUAACUUCGUGUACUUUCUACAACCAGGGUACACUGGUUGAUCUCCAUCCCCAAUCACAUUGGCAAACUCAUACGGUUCCGAACCAAAAUCACCAAAACCAUUAUCAUCCAUAUCAAUUUCUUCAGACACAAAACUGUACCUACUAUGGCCAUCAUCUUCUUCAACAUUUCUACUAGCAUUAGUAGUUACUUCCCAAGGUUCUCCGUGAAAUGUCCAAUUCUUAUAGCUUUGGUCAAUUCCAUUAAAGUAUAAGUGAUCCCUUAUAAUUCCAACCCCAAACAACUUCAAAUUAACACAUUUAACACAUGGACAACGGAUAUGUGUUGUAGUUAGAAGAUUUUCUACAGCAAAGUUCAAAAAUGCUUCCACCCCAAAUUCAUAUGCCUUCGAUCUUCUAUCCGAGUGCAUCCAUGACUUAUCCAUCUCCGACACUAUAACCUAUUAUCUAUAAUAAAGUGAAAAUACAGGCAAUGACCAUCACUAUAGCAGAUUAUACAAUGAUCUAAUCGCAAGUAAUACACAACAGAGACGACGGGUUUUAAACAAAAACAGACGUAUUUGGCAUAUAUAGACGACGUAUUUUCAACAGACGUCGUCUAUUAUAAGUAAUACAACGACGGUUUAUGAAAAAACCGUCGUGUAUAAGUAAUACAACGACGGUAGUUUAAAAAAACCGUCGUGUAAUCGUCGUCGUACGCCUUAAAAUUCGUCGUGCCUCAGUUUAUUUUCAAGAACACAAAACCCAUUAAGAACACAACAUAUAUAUGAAACCAAGCAAGAAACCAACAUAUACAUGAAACCAAGCAUGAAAACAAUAAAUCCAUUCCCAAUUCAACAUAACAUAGGGUGAUUAAAAGAUACGACAAAAUUAAAUCCAUUCCCAAUUCAACAUAACACAUAAUGUAAUCCAUGAACCCAUUAAACAGAAAAUCCAUGAACCCAUACCUAUAAGCACAUUAUUAACAGAUCGCAAAGCAUACACAUAAAACCCUUUAACAAAACAACCUAAUAUCAUUCAAUGAAUUUACAAGGGGAAGAUAGGGUUUGUACUUACAGGUUGGACGAGCUCACAGAUUCGACGGAGCCUGGAGAGUGCAACUUUUAAUUAGAGCAGAAGUGAGAGAGCGAAAUGUUAUGUCGCGCGAAAUCUGAAAAUUUUAGGUUUCAGGGUUCGAAGUAUAAGAAUAAGAGCCAAAUCUAAAAAAUUUAGGUCGCGCGAAAAUUUUUAGAGUUCGUGCGUUUUAAAACGUCGAAAGAAAAACCAAGGCGAAAGUUCUACACGUACCGACGUAAAUUUAAUAUUCCACGACGGAAACUUCAUUUUUCGGAUUAAGAACGUAAGGCCGUUAUUUUGAAGCUUCAUUUUUCGGAUUAAUUUUAAAUUUAUUUUGAAUUUUUUAUAUAACGACGACUGAAAAACCACGUCGGUGUUAAGAAAUUAAAGACGUUGUAAAUUAUAUAAACCGACUUACAUAUUAAAAUGACGUCGUUUAAAGCGUAAACCAUGUCGUAUGUUUUUCUGUACGACGUAAAAUAUGUAUUCCACGACGUAACCACCGUCGUUAAAAAUUAAUACCCUAAACCCAUAAAACUAAAUUAUACAAUUUAAAAAAUUAAGUUUAUAAAAGGUUUUAUGGUUUUAAAGCCUAACAUAUACCCUAGACUACCCAAAAAUUAUACUUUAAAAAUAAACCCCAAUAAAUAACAACCCUAAUCUCUAAACCCUAGACUCUAAACCCUAAACCAUAAAACUAGAAGUGAUUUUAUGACUCAUCAAAACAAUUUUGUUUUGGAUGGUCAUUUUAAAUUUUUGUUAUUCAAAAUGAAUUUUUUCAAGGUUUAUGUGGAAGAAAAUAUAUCAAUGACUUCAUAGGAGUUGACUUUUCAAUUUUCUGAUUUAUUUUAAAUUUAUUUUGAAUAUUUUGAUAUAAAAAUAAUAAAAUAUUCUUACCAAAACAACAAACCACGUCGGUGUUAAUAAAUUGUAGACGUUGUAAAUUGUAAUAGACUACUAAGUCGUUAAAAUGACGUCGUUAAAAUGAGAAACCAUGGCGGCUAUUUAACUAUACGACGUAAAAUAUAUAUUCCACGACUUAACCGCUGUCGUUACAUAAACGUCGUCGAUGAUACCCUGAACCCUUAAGAAAUUGAAGAUGUUGUAAACCAUAAACGACUCAAUUGUUCAAAGAACGUCGUCUAACUAUAUUUUUACGUCGUAUUUGUUUAAAACACGAAACAACAAAAUACGACGGUUUUUGACUUUAUUAGGUCGUUGGAAAAGUAUUACACGUCGGUUAAGCAAUUUGUAUGUUUGUUUUUUUUUUUAAUUUAAGAAAACCUCAACAAAUUUUUACAUUACAUAUUAUAGAGAAAAUUUGUACAUUAUACAUAAAUAUCAAGUGUUCAAUAAUUGCCCUGUUUAAUAAUUUGGAAAACAAACUCUGCCCAUUCAUUCCGGACUUCAUCAAUGGCUUCUUGGGGGUAUGAAGCUUCCUGGUUUCCCUUGGCAUACUGCAUAAACAAUGACUAUUAGGGUUUAUAAAUAAAAAGAAAUUCAAUCACAGACGACGAUAUUUUUCAUAACCGACGUAGUAUAUCCAUUCAACGACGUUAAUUUUACAUGACCGUCGUUGAUAAUACAAAAAACGACGUGAAAUGUAUGAAGGUAAUUUCUUCUUACCUUAUUCUCAAACCCCAAGAAAGGAUCCAUGAUGAUGUCCCUCAUGAAGCGCAUCACAUAGUACCCGCAUUCGACAUUGCUGGGUUGCUUUGGUGUGCCUGAGAGAGUUUUCCAAAUUACAUUUUUACGUCCUGCACGGGCUAUGUGGGUAUUAUAUAUUUUUAAAGCACUGUUCACGAUGUUUUUGGCCUCUUCAUCGACCACACGAUUUCCUGGCAGAGGAUCCAGAAAAUAGACGGUUUCUCUCUUUGCUCUUACAAUCAGCAAAAUCCAAUGACGGCUGCACAAAAUUAAUAUAAAAACGACGGUUAUUUACAAAAACGACGUAUUAUAAUAUUUCACACGACGAAAUAAAGUAGCAAUCGACGACAUUAUAGAUGUCUCACGACGAUAAAUAACUACCGACGUGGUUAGUAGUUUCAAACGACUAAAUAAAAUAAAACACCGACGUGGUUAGUUUAUAAGCUGUCAUUUAUUGAAAAUCAUAAAAACAAAAUCCUAAGGAGACUAACCCUGGAUUGUAAGGCAUCAUGAAAAUCUGUUCACCGUCUGUCUUCUGAAGUCGAGCUGCUACGAGUCGUGAUCUUUCAGUUAUUGUGCCAGAGUUGGCACUAACUGUAGCAGGGUCGAUAAAGCCAACCAUGCUGCACAUAUUGGCUUUUUUCAAAACAUCGUGUAAGUACCUAAACAAAUAAAAUAAUAUAAACAAGUCAGCACACAAAACACGACGGUUAUGUAUAAAAAAACGACGUAUUAUAAUAUUUCACACGACGUACUUAAAUAGAUGAGGACGUUAUAAUAUAUUUAUCACGACGGUAGUUAGUUAAGACGACGUGGUUAGUUAGUUCAGACGACGCAAUAUAUAAACCAACGAGAUAUUAUUUUAGAAGUACAAACCUCAUAUAUACAGCCAAUACAGUAGCUCCAAUUUCUUCCAUGCCUGCAAAUUGUGUAAUAUCUUCAGGCAGGAGGAAGGUAUCGCGCUCACCACCAAACACCUCCUUAUCAAUUGUAAAUUGGAGUGUCUUAUCCUCAGGCAGGAGUGUCGUUUCCACAAAACGACAAAGGGUUUUUAAAGAAGAUGGCGCCUCCAUAUUUGAAUAAGCACCAACUUCAAUAACCUGUUUAAAGAAAUUAAAAAAAUGACGUGGUAAUUCAAUAAAGACGACGGUUUAAGGAAUAACACGUCGUCUUAAAAGUAUUUAAACGACGGUGGAAAAACUGUCGUGGUAAUUCCAUCAAGACGACGGUUUUAUGAAUAAAGCGUCGUCUAAAACCAUUUAAACGACGGUGCAAAAACCGUCGUUUAAAUAUUUUAUUACGUCUUAAAAAAAUUCCGCCGUCUAAGUUGUAAACAAACGACGGAUGAAAUAAAAAUAUCGACGUCUGAAAUUUUGAAAAACAAAUAAAAGGCAAAGUUAUGUGAACAUACCUUGUCGUCAUGCUUUUCUUCAUCUUCUUUCUCCUUUUCUUCUUCCUUCUCUUCAUCUCUUUUUUCUUCUUCCUUCUCUUCAUCUGGCUGAUGUUUCCCCAUUUUGGCAGUAUCAUCCUCCAAAUGUAGGGAUCUCACAUCACCUCCAGAGCAGCUAGCUUUGUCAGACAUUGGAUUUUUGGGGCUUUGGCUAAUUCUUGGUUUAAGCAUGCUUGGAUCAAAAUUGGGAAUUAAUUGGGAAAGCUGACUCAGGAAAUGCUCCCUCUCAGCCUCUACCAAUUGUUUUGUCCUAGCCUCCAUUCUUAAGGCCUCUUCCCUUGCCUUAGCCUCCAUCUUUUUAGUCUCUUCUUGAAGGAGAACUCUUAAACUGUCCUUCAAACGGUCGUCAAAGCUCACCCUCUGUGGUUUGGGCAAAUUGAAAUGUUGCCUUGGGGAAACACCAGCACCAACUCCCCUCAAUCUGCCUGGAUGCUCGGGGCCCAAAGCCAUGGUCAGCACAUCAUUGCUGCCAUCUACUCUGACUUUGCCUUCCGAGACUUGUUUCUGCAAUUCAUCCUAAAACAAAGAUAAACAAAAAAACACACGACGGUUAUUUAUGUACAAACGACGUAUUAUAUAAUUUCACACGACGCAAUAACGUAUAAACCGACGUUAUGAUAACUUAUCACGACGGUAGUUAUACCGACGUGGUUAUUUAUUUAAAACGACGAAAUGAAUAAACAACCGACGUCUUAUGCUAUAAUUAAAGAAAACAGAGUAGUGAUUCCUAUUUAGACCGUUAACGACGUUUUUAACAAAGUUUCGACGUGGUAAUAUCAUUCACACGACGAACAAUAUAACACACGACGUAAUAAGAAUAAUUCACAGUUUAAUAAAAAUUUAAAACAGAGUGAUAGUAGGCUUACAAUUAAUUUAGCUUUCUCUGCCACCUUUGGAUCAGGGAUGUUACCAUGUUUGUCCUGUCUAGCUCUCUUCCAUAAGGUAGAUCGAUCAAUUUCUACCCCAGGCAUGGUUUCCUCCAAUUGAUCCUCCAAUCCAGCAUAUCCUUUUCGAGACAAUCGAUGAUUGUACUCGAGUUUCUCCCUAAUCUGUGCAUGUUGAGAAUGCACAGACUCAAAAUCUUUGGAUAGCCUUGAAGCUACAAAGGCAUCCCAUUGUGCUUUCUCUAUGAAUUUAUAUGUUUCAGGGGGUUGGCUUAAUUUCUCCCUGUCAUUGGUGUAUGGAAGGAUAUAAUGCCUCGUUAGUGUAGACUUGAAAUCCUUCCAUUUCUUGGAAGCAGAAGCUAAAACAGAGGUCUUGCCCCCUUGGCCUACGACAAAAGCCAUGUCAACUGCUUCCCAAAUCUGCUCCUUUAUAUCCUUGGGGAUUUGGGACCAUUUCUUGUCCACAAGUGGGAUCCUGGAGCGUGCCAACACACCAAUAUACGACUGCAUCUCAAUAUGUGCUUGGCCAACACCUUUCCCCCUUUUAUUGUACUCAACAAUUGGCCUCAGUUUCUGAAGCUUUCUCUUCACAACACGAGGCAUUGUGCUCAUACCUCGACCAGUCUUUGAAUCAUCAGAGAUUGUUGUCUGGCUGGUUGGUUCUGUCUCAGCAGAUGAUGAAGCAAACUUCAUCUUCUUCGAAGACUUCAUCUCCUUCGAAGACUUGUCUUGAGGAGCUACCAUUCCAAGCUUCUUGGAGCCAGAAUCCUUAGUUUGUUGUUGAGAAACCAUUUUAACAGACAAAACUGCAAGUGAAAAUAUUUCAGGAAAACAUUAAGAACACAAACGACGGUAUUAAAAAAUACGACGUAUGAUAUGAUUUUAGACGACGCAAUGAAAUAAUCUCAGACGUAAUAAAUGUUUAAAAGCAUUAUUUAUAUAACGUCGUGGUAUAUAUGUUCACACGACGUCAAUAGUAAUACACCGUCGUGGUAAACUAUUAUUUAUAUAACGUCGUGGUAUUUAUGUUCAUACGACGUCAAUAGUAAUACACCGUCGUGGUAUUAACAUUUACACGACAUAAAACAAUAAGAUAUUUUGUCGUCUAUAUUAGAUACCAACCCUAGUUUCUUUUUCUUUAUAUUUUAUCAAAUAAGGGAAAAACAAAAACCAUUGUUCAGAGAAAUCAAACCUGCAAUUAAACAAGCAUAUAAAAAAAGACUAUUAUUUUAAAAACAACUUUGUCAAUUUUCAGACGACGCUAGAACAACUUACGAACCGUCGUGGUCUACCGUCGUCUUAUUUAGUUGAGGUAGUUGUCUUCAAAGUUGGAAACUUUCCCUCUUUGUCUGUAUAUUUUAUCAAACUUGGAAAGAAGUAAAAUGAUUUUGGCCAGAAAAAAGGUAAAAAGAUUUUUCAAACAAAAAACGUAUGAGCAUGCAAAACAGUAACCAAAAUAGUGAAAAUGAAAGCUUACCUUUUGCGUGCAAUGAAAGCAAGAGGAAGAUGAUCGAUGUUUAAGUUCAAGGACGACGAAGAAGACGAGAGGAAGACGAUGAGAAACUCUGACAAUGCUCUGACAAGGAAAAGAGACGAAAAGGUUUCUCUGGAGAUUGAAAUUUUUAAUCGGGUUUGGAAACAGUGCAUGUGUAAGUCCAAAAGUUGCUUACAUAUAAAACCAUUUCAAAAAAAUAAUACGGUGGUUACAUUUAACUACGUCGUUUUUAACUAACACGACGCAAUAUUUUUCGUUCGACGUGGAAUCAUUUCAUUUAACGUCGUUAGGUUUAAUAUAACCGACGUGGAUUUUAAUUUUUAAAUUAUGAAUAGAAUUUUUUUUUUCCCGUGACCUUUCAGUUUAUUUUUCAAUUACAGUGCGUUAUAAAUAGAGUUUUUUUUCCGGAGGAAAUUUAAAACGAAGGAAAUUAAUAUUCUGCAAUAUGUAAAGUUUCUUUUUUGGAUGACAGAUUUAAAUAAAAUAAGAAUAUAAAAACAACUAAUGUGUAAGUCAAGUAGACGAAAAGUUGCUUACAUAUAAAACCAUUUCAAAAAAAUAAUACGGCGUGGAGUUCUGUAAUGUACGUCAGUAAUACCGACGUUGAUUUUACAAUUUAAACGGCGGUUUUUUGGUAAGGACCGCCGUUGGUUUUAAAAAUUUAUUCUAUAAAUUUGUCGCUUUCAUUCAUUUUCGCGGUUUACAUUUAGGGUUCCAAGUUCUUCCUCUCUCAGAGACACUGUCUCUCACAUCUCAAAGACAAUAAUUUGGAGGUCUUUCUCAAAGAGAAAUUGAGCUUACAUUUAGGCUAGUUGACAAGAAGAAGCUUGUCAACUAGCCUUCUCACUUCCUUGAUCAAGCCUGAUAGGACACUUAGUGCUUCUGAAUACUCCUUGCUUUCCAUCAAAAGAGAUGCAAGCCUGACCUCCACUCGCUGUCGAAGGAAAGUUCGCUUCUCAGGGAAAUCUGAAGAUCAGAUGUGCCUGAUCCUCUGCUUGAUUUUUUUGACUAAGAAGAUCCGUCAGAUUUGUGAUAGCCUCUUCCUUUACGUAGAGCUUCAGAAGAAGAAGAUGGGUUUCAAGAAUGCGAUAGAGAAUAGAAAUGGCUUCAGAUGGCCUCUAAAGCAUGAGCAAUCGAAUCAGUAGUUGCUGGGAGAUAUGAUGAAGACAUUGUCAAUGCUUUGAACUAUACAAGUCCUGCAGAAAGAUAAAGGACCAAACUGUUAAAGAAACUGAAACAAUGGCGGUUUUCUGUUCUACCGUCGUCUUUUCUCGUCGUCUAUAUAAAGGUAAGAUGGCGGUAUAUUUAUAAUUACCGACGUAGAUUAUUUUGUUAAACGUCGUUAAGUGUACUACAACCGACGUGGAUUUUAUUUUUAAAUUAUAAAUAGAGUGUUUUUUUCCCGAAUUCUUUCAGUUUUAGUUUUCAAUUACAAAGCGUGAUAAAUAGAUUUUUCUUUCCCGAGGAAAUUUCAAAUGAGGGAAAUUAAUGUUCUAGAAUUUGUAAACUAACACGACGCAAUAUUACUAACCCGAGGAAAUUAUAAAUAGAUUUUGCUUUCCCGAAGAAAUUUUAAAUUAAUUCAGUUUGAAACAACGACGGGUUUUUGUUAUGACGUCGUUUUUAACUAAAACGACGCAAUAUUUGUUUUGCGACGUGGAAUAUUUUCAUUUAACGUCGUUAGUUUUAAUAUAACCGACGUGGAUUUGAAAUUUUAAAUUAUGAAUAGAAUUUUUUUUCCCGUGACCUUUCAGUUUAUUUUUCAAUUACAGUGCGUUAUAAAUAGAGUUUUUUUUCCGGAGAAAAUUUAAAAUGAAGGAAAUUAAUGUUCUGGAAUAUGUAAAGUUUCUUUUUUGGAUGACAGAUUUAAAUAAAAUAAGAAUAUAAAAACAACGACUGUUUUUGUAUUACUGUCGUCGUUUUUCGUCGUCUUAAGUAAGACUAAGACGACGUAAUAUAUUUGUUUAGCGACGUUGAUUUGUUUUUUAAACGUCGUUAGGUAUAAUAUAACCGUCGUUGAAAAUUGUCUUUCUGAUUGCAAAUUUGCAACGACGUUAGGUAUAAUAUUUGUAGAUACACAAACGCACACACAUCAUCAACUUCCAAAAAAUUGUCUCUCUGAUUGCAAAUCUGUGUCAUCUGUUAAGAUUAUGAUGUGGAACAGAGUUCCAUCUGGUAAGAUUUCGUAACCCUUGGGAUCUCAGAAAAAUCUGCUUAUGUCGGCGGUUUUCUAUAUAAACCGUCGUGGUUAUUUCAAUUCUUGUCAUUAAGUAGAUCUACCGACGUAGGAUAAGAAAAUCAAAGAAAAAAAUUGUUAACAAAAAUUCUUAUUAAGACGACGUAUAAAAUGAAUAAAUACGACGUUGAAUUUUAUAGUACGAUUUAAAGAUAACGUCGUAGAACUAUACGAGAAUGACGUCGAUAUAUUUAUAUUUUUCGUCGUUGUACAUUAAUUUAAUACGGCGAUAUUUUGUAUUUUAAAGCCUUGGAUUUGUUUGUAAUUAUACGGCGUCUUAUACGAAAACCUCGUCGUGUUAUUUUAUGAGUAAAAACGGCGGCUUUUAUUGAAAUCGUCGUCUUUACUUUCUACGUCGGUCGAUUCAUAACUUCUGCCGUUCUUUGUUGGUUUUGAUUUUACACUGCCGAAAUCUGUUUCAAAUAGACGUCGGUUGUUUAAUUAGGUACGUCGUUGUUUUUGAACAGCCAUUUGAAUCUCCAUUUUUAGUUGUCUAAGGUGGUAUUACACGACGGUGUUUUUAGAACCGUCGUCUUUUUAAAAACCACGACGGUUUUCACCUAGACCGUCGUUGUUUUCUGGUCGUCUUUUUCACUUUUUGUAGUAGUGGACUGUGACGGUACAACCUUCAAAGUCAAAAGCCAUCGCUUAAAACCACAUGGGGCAGCCGCAUUUCUUAAGGAUGAGACCAACAUCCUUCUCAAUGACCCCAAGUAAACGCAUCCAAAAGUCGGGCUAUUGACUAUAAAUUAAGCGCUUGUUGGGAGGCAACCCAACUAGGUACCUUCAUUCCUUAUCUUUUUAAUUUUUGUUUGUGUGUUUCCCGCGUUCAUUUAUUUUACUAUUCUUUGUCCUUGCAUUUAUUUACUUUUUAAACAUUGAGGACAAUGUUUCAUUUAGGUUUGAGGUAGGUAACAUUCGUUUUAUUUUUAAUUUUUUUGUUUUUAGUCUUUUUCGAGUCAUGCAAAACAUUGGUGUUUAUGUUUCGAUAAUACUGUUUUAAUCUGUGAUGGAUUGAAGAUUUGGCCCAAGUUUCCUUCUUUAAUUUUUUGUGCUGAGUCCAGCCAUAUAAGGCUCGUAUUUCUCUGACUUUUAAUUUGGAAGUUACAGCUGUUUUUCUAAACAGGGAUCUGGAACUCGAAUUUUUCUGCGAUUCUGUACGGUGUUCUGUAUUUAACGUCAGUUUUCAUGCUGUUCUAUUCUGUUUUCUGUAUUUGGUCUAAAUAAAAGUUGUGCCUUUCUUGUCUAUUUUCUGAGAAUAUAAGGCUUCUCAAAAUCCAUGCAGUACUUUAAGAGAUAAUUGUUGAAAACUGAUCUGAGGUCGAAAUUGAAAAGAAGCAGUUUUUCCGAAAUGUAAAUUCUAGUUAAAUUAUUGCAAGCGCACAAUUCGUACAAGUAAUAUAGAAAUAAGUAGAGUGACGUUCCCACGAAGACUGUAAUUUCCUAUUAACUACCAAUUAUGAUUAAUUUAGAAUUUAUUUGAACAGUUGAUUAAGAAGAUUGAUUGAUUUAAGUAAGCUAAAACAAUUAUAAAAAAUAGCAAUUUAAUUAAUGUUGGAAAAUCAAGAUGAUGAGACACUAGAGCAUCCGAUUUCACCAUAACCAAUUCCACUUAAUUCUUAUAGCCAAUUAACCCUAAUUACUACCCAUGUUGACAGUUGGUUUCUCCUAAUUCAUUCGAUAUUCCAACUCGGGCUCAACCAAAAGUAUUCUUAAUUAACAACACAUUCUCUCUCGAGCAAUGGAUUUAGAAAAUCAAGAACCCAUUAAGUUCUAUGAGAACCUGCAAGAAAACUGCAUGAGUCAUGUUAGUCCCUCUCGGGCACUCAUUCAAGACAUGGUAUCUGUUAUAAGAAGCAAACACCAAACAUCUCCUCUCGGUCUCCUCCUGGAUCAUCAAAUCAAUUAGAUAUUGGCCAGAUAUUCAAAGCAUUAAGAACAAUAACAAAUACUCAACAUGAAAUAGUAAUCAAAAAUUAAUAGAACUACAAAAAUUAAGUAUUCAUGGUUAGACUACAUCGUAGCCCUAGCAAGGAAAAUUAGUUCAUGACAAAAGAAAAGAUAAACAAGAGAAUUGUUGUCAUAAAACCGAUUUGGCAGAUGGACUUGAUCUCUGGAUUCUCCACAGCAACACAGCGACAACAAAUUCUUGGCUCUCUCUCUGAUAUAUUUGUGGGUGUAUGAAAGUUGUAUAUGGGAAGAUGAUAGAAAAUAUGAUCCUCUGAACAGAUCCUUAGGGUGACCUUAUAUAGUGUAAAAUAACUAAACCCUACUCUAAAAAAGUCUAGAAAAACUCUCCUAAAGCCAAACAAAAUCUCAAACAAUUAAGGAAACAAACUAGGAAAGAAUCCUUCUUUGACUAGGAAACACGUCAUCCAACUUGCAUGCAUGUUUUUGGGGUCGUUCCACUUCCUAUAAAAUUCUGGAAAAAUAUGAGAAACGUAGCUUUAUCUCUAAGCUUUCCAAGCAUAUAUUACACGCCACUAGGAAAAAUCGCAAAGCUAUUCAAAUCUUCAAUCUUCCACAGCAAUGCAGUUCUAAUGGGAUUUCAACUUAGGCUGUCUUGACUUGCAGGUCUGGAGCAUUUGACUUGGUAGAAAAUUAUGAAACUUUGACACAAUGAUCUUAAAUAUCUUAGCUUUCUUCUACAAUUGGCCUUGCACUAAAAUUCAUUCGAAAAGUCGACUUUCAGUUGAAAUCCGUCCAAGAGUGCAGAAUAGCUGAAAAUAAGAAAAGUAAAGUAAUAAUACUCAUUUUAAUUAACUUUCCCUACAAAACCUAUAUAUAAAAGGUAUAAAAAUAUAGGAAAUAAUACUCUUUCUUGUUCUUUUUCACAUCCCCAAAUAACAGAGGAUUUUUCAGGUAGAGAUAUCAUUAAGAGAAUUUUUUUUUAUACAAGCGAUAUUUGACUUUAAUCUAAUCUAAACUACAGGAAAGGUGAUUUGAACUCACGUGCAGAGUGGGGAGUACAUCCGCUUUAGCCAACUUGGCUAGACCCAUGUCUUCGUCAUUAAGAGACUUUUGAAUGCAUCUGCUUGCAGAGCCACAGGUUCUAACCAAAAACAUGCGGGAGUUGUGUGCACAACACACAGACUCCACAAACUUAAACGACAAAGUUAUCACCUUCAUACCAAACUGAGAUUUAAUUUUGGAAACUGAAAAGAAUGAUCUUAUAAACAAUAAUUGCAAGCGGAAACGAUAUCAGAAGGCUGAUUUAAUACCUUAAGAGUCCUUGACUUGAUGUUAAUGGAAUUUGUGGCACAGAAGAAAACUAAUGUGCACAAGUACUUACCAAUAGAAAGGACCACAAUCCACAACCAAUAAUGGCCUUGGUUUUUCAGAAACCAGUAAAAAUAAAUAGGCCACAAACUUCAUACUGUGAUUAAUCAAACACAUAGUUGCACUACGUUUUCUUAACAGAAUUUGUCCUUCCCAACAAAAACAUAACUUACACAAAAAUUUACAUACAUAUAGCCUUCUUUCUUAUCAGUAUGGCCAAAUUAAAGCGAUGCAAAACUACAAAUAAGUCCACUAAAAACGAUUGAUAAACAGAAAAUAUGCAACUUAGUACCGAAAAUGAUUUAAACCUGCGAUACAAAUGACUCCUUCAAGCAUGCUCUGGAAAAUGGGGAAGGGCAUGGUGGAACUUGUACUUCCACCACUCCUUCAAGCAUCUGAACAACCUUCCUCAUAUUGGGUCUAAGAGAAGGGUCUUCUUGAAUACACCAAAUAGCAACCAUCACAAAAUUUUCCAGUGUCGUUUUAUCACCCAGGGCCUGAACUUCAUAAUCUACAAUAGCAUCUAAUGCUCCUCCAAGGAAGCAAUCAUAGACCCAAUCCGUUAAUAUUGCUUUCUCUUCGCAGUUAUUUUCCACAUCAACGCUUCUCCUACAACAAAUGAUCUCAAGCAGCACAACACCAAAGCUGUACACAUCAACUUUGGUAGUGAUUGGCAUGUUCCUAAACCACUCAGGUGCAACAUACCCUUUUGUUCCUCUAAUGGCAGUAUGAGUCUUGCUCUGAUCCAUCUUCAAAAGCUUUGCCAAUCCAAAGUCAGAGAUUCGAGCAGUGUAAUAAUCGUCAAGCAGUAUGUUCUGAGGCUUUAUAUCACAAUGGAUAAUUUGAGUACUGCACUCUUCAUGCAAGUACAGAAGUCCUCUGGCAACUCCAUAAGCAAUUUCAAUUCGUUGUCUCCAACUCGGUUUGAUAUCAGUAAAAAGGUAGCUUGCUAAUGUGCCAUUGCUCAACAAUUCAUACACUAGCAACCGCUGUUGCCCCUCAUCACAAUAUCCGAAAAGGCGAACCAGAUUCUUGUGAUGUGUCUGACCAAUUACAUUCAGUUCUGUUUUGAAUUCCUUCUCAAUUUCUUGCAUCACAUAGUUUAGCUUCUUCACUGCCACUUGGACACCAGAACCAAUUUGUAGUACCCCUUUGUAAACAGUUCCAAAAGCACCUUUGCCUAAUUCUUCCUUGAAAUCAUUUGUAGCUUCUCGAAGCUGUUCAUAACUAAAAGAACGCAAAUUCGAGUCCAAAACAAUUUCGGCAGACCUUACAUGUUUCUUCCUGAAAAUCAAGACAAAUCCCAGACAAAGACAAGCACCUAAGAUAAAAUUAACAAAGAUAGAGGUACCCAAAAGCACUGAUUCUGCACGUAUCACAGUGGUCUGGCUCUUCUUCUUCUUAUCAUCUGGACAUGGAUGUUGAGGAGCUGGUAUUGGUAGAGUUGAAUUGUCCUUUCUGACUUUGAUGAAGGCUUGUGAAUUAAGACCUGUAUCCACUCUCCCAUUUGAGAGAGGUAACUUCUUUUUCCAGCAGGUUUCAGACCGAAAAAUAGCAACAGCACACAAACAGUCUUGAAAGCAAGAUUCAUUGCACUUCUCUGCAGUAAAAGGUUUUAACUGCACAUAAUCUGAGGUUGGCCAAUCUGUAUUUGUUAGCGCCUCAACAUCAUAUAAAUCGUUUGUGCGACUAAGCUCAUCUUCUUCACAGCCUUGUAUGAAAUCCGGUUUGCAUCCCCGAUAUGGAUCAUUUGGAUCAAGUAAAGAGAACCCUUUUGGGCAUCCACAGGUUGGCCUCUUAUCUUUGAGAGUGCAGAUACUGUUGUACCCACAAACACCAACACCUGAAUCUUCUCUAUUUCUUUGGCAAAUAUCAUCUGGCUCUGACCACCGAAGAGUCCAGCUCACAUUUCCAGUGAAAUUCUUGGGGUGAUAAUAUUGAGCAAAAAUCCCAUCAAAGUUGAGAGUUGCUCUAAUAUAGUUGUCCCUUGCUGAGACUGCCUCUCCCACUUCAAGAUUGUACUUUCCACCAUUCUCUCUCACAACAUACAAGUAGCCUGAGACAUUGAAAACCAAUUCUUUACCUUCACUACCUGCCACAGUCCCUGAG